AUGGCUCUUCUGACGCUUUCUUCAAACCCUUUUUUCACUUUUACAAGACUGCAACCUGCAAGCCGCUUCUGCCGCGGAAAAUCGCAGGGUGUUUGCAUUUCUGGUCCAGUCCAAUGCACGGGUGGGGCUAAAACUAGUAGCCAAACUGCUGUGAUUGUGAGGCGAACCGCAAGCUACCAACCUUCAAUUUGGGACCAUGAUUAUAUCCGGUCACUAACGAGUGAUUAUGUGGUAGGUGCUAAAUUUUAGUACUAUUGUUCAUUAAUGGACUCAACUUGAUUUUUUGACGGAUAUAGUGUCUUAUAUGCAGGGAGAAACAUAUACAAGACAAUUGGAGAAGCUUAAGGGAGAUGUAAAGAUAAUGCUUGGCCAAGUCGGGGAACCUUUGCAUCAACUGGAGCUAAUCGAUACCUUGCAAAGGCUUGGAAUACAUUAUCACUUUGGGGAAGAAAUAAAGAGAAUAUUGCAUAGCAUAUACAACAACUACAAUAGGAAUGAUACAUGGAAAAAUGGAGAUUUAUAUGCCACAGCUCUUGAAUUUAGACUCCUAAGACAGCAUGGCUACCAUGUUCCUCAAGGUAUUAGACACUACCGAGUCCUAGGUUUAAAUUUAGUCUUCACUACUGUUUUAAUAAUUUUUUCAGGCAGCGGAAAGAGGUACACGAUCUACCAGGUAAAACAGCAUAUAUAGGAAGCACUAGAUCAAUUAGUUGCCUAAUGAGAAUAGCAUAAAGAGCACACGAUUUUUGGGAUUUUAUAAAUUCUGUGCGACAUAUUUAUACUUCAGCAUAAUUAUUGUCAUAUUGAAUGUUGCAGAUGUUUUCCAUAUUUUCAUAAACCAAGAUGGGGACUGUUAAGCCAUGGCUUAAUGAANNNNNNNNNNNNNNNNNNNNNNNNNNNNNNNNNNNNNNNNNNNNNNNNNNNNNNNNNNNNNNNNNNNNNNNNNNNNNNNNNNNNNNNNNNNNNNNNNNNNNNNNNNNNNNNNNNNNNNNNNNNNNNNNNNNNNNNNNNNNNNNNNNNNNNNNNNNNNNNNNNNNNNNNNNNNNNNNNNNNNNNNNNNNNNNNNNNNNNNNNNNNNNNNNNNNNNNNNNNNNNNNNNNNNNNNNNNNNNNNNNNNNNNNNNNNNNNNNNNNNNNNNNNNNNNNNNNNNNNNNNNNNNNNNNNNNNNNNNNNNNNNNNNNNNNNNNNNNNNNNNNNNNNNNNNNNNNNNNNNNNNNNNNNNNNNNNNNNNNNNNNNNNNNNNNNNNNNNNNNNNNNNNNNNNNNNNNNNNNNNNNNNNNNNNNNNNNNNNNNNNNNNNNNNNNNNNNNNNNNNNNNNNNNNNNNNNNNNNNNNNNNNNNNNNNNNNNNNNNNNNNNNNNNNNNNNNNNNNNNNNNNNNNNNNNNNNNNNNNNNNNNNNNNNNNNNNNNNNNNNNNNNNNNNNNNNNNNNNNNNNNNNNNNNNNNNNNNNNNNNNNNNNNNNNNNNNNNNNNNNNNNNNNNNNNNNNNNNNNNNNNNNNNNNNNNNNNNNNNNNNNNNNNNNNNNNNNNNNNNNNNNNNNNNNNNNNNNNNNNNNNNNNNNNNNNNNNNNNNNNNNNNNNNNNNNNNNNNNNNNNNNNNNNNNNNNNNNNNNNNNNNNNNNNNNNNNNNNNNNNNNNNNNNNNNNNNNNNNNNNNNNNNNNNNNNNNNNAAACCGCUUAUGAUGUUCUUAAAGAACACGAUCUCAACAUCAUUUCAUAUCUCAGAAAUGCGGUAACAUUUCAGAUUAAAAAUUCAGUCCUCUUUCUAUAAUCAAAUGGACGAAAUUUCCUGUGCAAAAUAUGCUUUUGGCUCAUUAUAUGAUUAAUUCUUCAGUGGGCAGAUAUAACAAAAUCCCAAUUAGUGGAGGCGAAAUGGUACCACGAAGGUUAUAAGCCAUCUCUACAGGAGUAUAUCAACAAUGCCUGGAUUUCAGUAUCAGGUCCACUAACACUAGUUCAUGCCUAUUUUUUCAUCACAAAUCCAAUGACGGAGGAGGCCUUGGGAUGCUUAGAGAGAUUCCGCGAUAUAAUCCGUUGGUCAUCAACGAUUUUCCGUCUUUCAGAUGAUCUUGGGACAUCAUCUGUAUGCAGCCUAAUUAUCAGAGAUUGCUUUAGUUUAUUUUCUAUACUAACAAUCCAUCAUUUAAUAAUAAUAAUACUGAUACAUACAUUUUUUUCUCAGGAUGAGUUAAAAAGAGGAGAUGUUCCUAAAUCCAUACAAUGUUACAUGUAUGAAACUAGUGCUUCUGAAGACGAUGCCCGCAAAUACAUAGGCUUCUUGAUUGAUGAAACAUGGAAGAAGAUGAAUGAAGAGCGAAAUCUGAAUUCUCCCUUCUCCCAAACUUUUAUUGGAAUGGCAAUGGACAUUCCUAGGAUGGCUCAAUGCAUAUAUCUGUACCGGGACGGGUAUGGUGUUCAAGACCGUGAGACUAAGGAUCACGUAAAGACAUUAUUCAUUGAGCCUAUUUCCCUUAUAUAGAGAACCCAUGUCCUUCAGUCUGCGAUGUGAAUGUGAUCUAAGCUUUUUAGAGUUUGGAUGUGGUAGAACUUGGUAAAUUUGUGCAAAGGAUGUUUCCCUGAAGUUCAAUUGACUUAUUUGGUUGGUUUGGUCUUAUGUUCCUCAGCUGUUAGACUGAUUUCUUGUGAGAUUCACCAUUAGGUAAAACAAUAGCAGAAAAAUCCACACAUAAGUAAUCCAAGCAUCUUCUUGAAGGCCAUGGUUGAUAUUGAUGCAAUCUGUAGCCUUGCACGUAGAAUUAAAAAUUAUUUUUAAUUCUAAAUCAUAUCAAUGUAUUGGUUCCACGUUGACAUCAAACUUCAUCCUUUAUAUAGAACAUGAUAUAAGCAAGAGGUGUGCACAGGGUUGGUUGUGGAGCCUUGCCACCAAAUUCACAUAUAUAAUAUGUGUCUUUAUUUCAGUGGAGCUGUUGGGAGGUGUCCAUUAAUUGAUUUAUAAAAUGACAUGUUUAAUAAGUGGGACUAAAGUAGAUUCGGUGAAUUAAAAUAUCCGAUAUUACAAAAACAUGUCGGUGGUUGAAUUUAUGAAAAUAUCAGAAAAAAUUUUAGAGAAAAAAAUAUUAAUAAGAUAAAAAAAAUAAGUAUUUGCUGGAAUUAAAGUUUGGAUGCCUUGAUGAGUUGACCCAGUCCAAUCCAACAAAAAUGAGAAUAUGGGAGUUAAAUCUGUCUAGAAACUCUCAUUAUGUAAUAUUAAAAAAAAAAUAGCAAACGAAAAGUUAAGACAUUUGUGCUAUGGAAAUAGAGUGAUUAUUAAUUUUUGUAAUUAUAUUCAUGAUUUGGGACAGAGAAGUCGAUAAUGAAAUAAUCAAUCUAAAUUUUGGACAUUUCAAAAGGCAAUAUGGAACCUUAUUUCCAUUUGUAGUAAAAAAAAUAAAAAAUAAAAAAACCUUUAAUAACUAAGAAACAAAUAACAAUACACUUAAUUAAAUUAUUUUACUAAAUAAUUAUAUACAUAUAUAUAUGAUAAAUUUUAUAGUAUUUCAUGAAAAUAUUUAGAAGCUGAUUUUAUUUGUAUAAAAAAGAAAAAAAAUCAUUGAGAAUAUUAUAAGAAUGACUUCCUAUUUUCAAUAAUUAGUCAAGUAAAAUUAAAAAAUAAAAUAAUUCAAAUAUAUUAAUUCAUUAAAAUUAUAUUUCAAUAUUUAAUUUUUAUAUAGACAUACAUAAAAUCAGUAUAUAUAAAACAUCUGAAAUAUUUUUCAUAAGAGUAGCUUUGCCUAAGUAGAAAGGGGUCACACUACUAUAGAUCUUUAAUUCGGGAUCUAUAUUUAUUUGCACUUGUGAUGUAUAUAUUAUUGAUUGAAGGGAGCAAUGCAAAAUGAAAUCAUGCAUCCCUAAAAUAUACAAAUAUAUUGGUAAUUCGAUUUUACAGAUAUAUCGGGGUAUAUUAAGGAAUAUCAAUGGAUAUUUUGACAUAAAAUAUUAAUAAGGGAAAAAAGAAUCAAAACUCAUGAAAAAUAUUGAGAAAAAUUCUAAAAAUGAUAUAAUAAGUAAUAAUAGACAUUUUAAAGUUAUUUUAUUAAAUAAAAUUAUAUAUGUAUGAUAUAAUUUAUCAUAUUUACUAAUAAUAUCAUAUGUAUGGAUAAAAAAUAUAAAUUUUAUAAGUGUAUAUUUAUUAUUAAGUUAUAUCAAAUAUUAUUCAAUAAUAGUAUCGUGAUAUUUAAUUAUAAUAUGUUUAGUUUUAAAAUAUAUUUAAUAUUAAAACCAUGAUCCAUUUAAUUCAAUUGUAAUUAAUGAUAUAAAAUAAAUAUUGAUAUAUGUAUAAUUUUUUUAAUAUUUAAUUAAUAUAUUAAUGAUAAAAAAAAAAGAUCAAUGAAGAAAAUGAUUAUAAUAAUUUUUAUAUUUUUGGUAAUCAAUUAAAUGAAAUUUUUUCAUUUAAUUAUAGAACAAUUAUAAUUAAUUUAUUAAUUAAAAUAUCUUUUUAAUAUUUUGUUUUUAUAAUGACCGAUGGUCUAAGUAGUCAUCUAAGGCCAACCUUUUUUCAUGGAUUGCAAUACCGAAAUAUUGGAGAAAAAUGUGCAAAUGAGAGAUUUGCUAUUGAAUGCCUCUAGAUUGCCUCUAGAUUGGAUACGGAAUUCCAAUAAUAUCUUAAUAGAAGGACGCUUGAUUGCAUAUGGAAUGCUGUUCCAAAAGCUGCCGAAUGCUUUAUUUAAAAAGAUGCCCUAUGGUGUUACACCCAAUUAUUAUUAUUAUUAUUUUUCAGACACAACUCAGUGUAAUAUUACUGUUCAUUGAGUCAUUGAACGUGAUCAUAAUCUGGAUCUGGGUCCAGGCAUGAUUACUUCGCAUAAAAUAUUAACGAGGCGAUUCACUAUGACCAUAUGUUAUCCCUAACGCUAUCUUAAGGUGAGAAAAGAAAAUGCUUAGAUUAAUUUGAGUGUGAUGUAGGAGGAUCAUAUCAUUUCAGUGUUUAGCAAAGAUAAAGGUGAUUUUAAGUAGCUUUAUUGAUAUUAUUGAAUCAAUUAAAUUACGAAUUGUGUGAUUAGAAAGAAUCAUAAACAAUGGGAGAAAAAAUACCUGGGGUUCUUAUUAUAAUUACUUGAAAAAUAAGUACAACAAGAAUGGAAUUUAAAUAGGUUUACCAUCAAAGAAAAUAAAGUGGAAAAUAUUAAUUCAUCUAUACUCCCAAAUAAUAAUAAUAAUAAUAAUAUAAAAAACAAAUAAGUUUACAACUGGAAAAAAAACAUCAAAAGUUUGCUAACCAAAAACUGAAAACAUGAAAGUGGACACAACUUGGUAAACUGGUUUGUAAUUUAUAGGAAAGUAAAUUACAUAAGGAGGAUAUACUUAGUAUUGGAAGAUAUACUUAAGGUUGUGUUGGCUCAAGAUUUGAUGGCUUAAGAAGUGAACUUGAAAUUAUGUGUACUUGAAAUUUAGUGUUGCCGUAGGAAGCACACCCAAUGUAUUGGAUUGAGAUUUGGUAUAAUUUAAAUUACAUAAGGAGAUUGAUUUAGAGUGCGUUUAAUAGUAAUUCUAGAAAACAUUUUAAAUGUUUUUAACUUUUUUAACACUUAAAUGAUAAAAAAUUUUAAAUAUUAGAAAUGUUAAAAAUAUUUUUUAAAAUCAAUGUCAAACAGACUCUUAGAGUAUAUUUGAUAGUGAUUUUUAAAAAAAAUUAUUUUUCGAAUAUUAGAAAGAUUAAAAACAUUUUUUAAAAUCGCUAUCAAAUAUACUAUUAAUAUCAAUUGUAGUCAAAUGAUUUGUGGAUCAUAGUUGGAAGAAGGCUCUUCUAGGAAAUGAUUACAAGAGAAGGCCUUAGAUUUGGCCAAUUGUGUAGUUUUGAACUAAACUCACACAUUUCUCUAUGAGUUUAUUUAUUUAUUUAUUUAUUAUUAUUAUUAUUAUUAUGUUGUUAUUGUUGUUAUUGUUGUUGGUGUUGUUGUAUCGUAUAUUCAGAGUGCUUAUUACAUUGUUAUCUUUUAUGCAUGAAGCUUUAUACAUUUAUUUGUUUUUGUUUUAGUGGAGCUUUAAGGGGGUGUCCAUAAAUUAAUUUAUAGAAUGGCAUGUGUAAACAGUGGAUUUAUCCUUUAACUUUUUGCUUAUCAUAUAAAGUUGGUAUAAUUAUACUGAAGGUCAACCAUAUACAAUUGAUCACUAGCAUAUUUGACUCUCCAAUAAAUUAGAUUCAAUUCUUAUUACUUUCAUCUCUAGAUUAUUGAUACGUGAAGUUUGAAUCAGUUUUAUUGCAAUCAAACAUUUUUGUCUUGUAAUUUAUUUGACUCCCAACAAAGUUAAAUUUAGAUUUCUAUGAAUUUGUGGUUCAAAAAAAUGAAAACAAUAAUUUAAUCAUAAAUUUUGGAAGAUAUAUAUAUAUAUAUAUAUAUAUAUAUAUAUAUAUUACUACAAAUUUUAAAAUUUAAUCUUUUAUUGCAAUACAAAAUCGAAAUAUUCGAUUCUAAUGAAUUUUUGUAAUUAAAACCUUAAGACAUAAUUUAAACUCUUCUAAAUAUGCACUAGAAUCAACAAUUUUAGUUCAUUUUGAAAAAUAAAAUAUUAGAAUUUUAUACUAUUUUUCUAGUUAAAAAAAAUAUUAAGAAAUUAAUAUCAACAAUAAAACUCACAUUAAUUCAUAAAUCUGAAUAAACUUAAAAUAGAAACAAAUGUUAAAUUAAAAAAAAAUCUUAUUGUAUUUUCUUAGCAGUCAAAUUUGGGAAAUUCUAAUUAUUAUCGAAUUACCAAUUUUCUAACUAAUAUUGUGAAGUACCUAGAAAUAUGUUUUACUUUUUUUUUUUCAAUUGAUUAGUUUUCAAAUUAAAUUUAAAAAAAUAUUAUAAUUAAUUUUAUAUGCAUUUUUAACAUGAAAAAAAAUAUUAUUAUACAUUCAGAAAUGAAUAAAGACAAUCUGUUUAAGACUUAAUAAUAUUCAAUCAUUAAUAAAAAAAAAACUAAAGAUAUAAAUACUUAAUGAUAUUCAACCCUUUUUAGAUUUAAGUGAAACUCAAGUUUAUUCAGAUUUUAAAUAAAAAAAUAAACACUACCUAAGUUCCACACGAAAGGUGAAUGCAUUUAAGUGGGAUUUUAAUUAAAUUGAAAUUGAUUAAGCCAAUGCUAUGACUAGGCCACACGAGUGUUAAAUCUGGUUUCUACUUUAAUUAAGCCUUAAAAAUUGAGGUAAGGUCUAUGCAUUAGUAUGAAGGGUUUAGCACUUAAUUUGCAUUAAGUGUUUGAAACUAUAACACACCUCCACAUCAUAGUUUUAAUUUUGAGGAUUUGGGUUUGUUUUUAGGCUUUAGGCUUCAAUUGGAUUCUCCAUUUGAGUUUAGGCCUGAGUUUGGGUUCAUGUGCUCUACUCCUUGGGUUGUAAUUUGCCUCACUUGGGUUUUGGCCUUUAGACCAUAGCAUUUGGGCUUCUAUUAUUUUGAUAUUGGGCUCAUUGGAUUGGACUUGGACAUUAGAUAUUCUUUUGGGCCAUCUUUUAUUUGAUUUUUGGGCUUUUUUUUCUCUUGGGUCUAGAGUAUUGAUUGUUGGAUUUCGGCCUCUGUUUUUUUAUUUGUUUGGGCUUACAUACGACUGACUUUGGCUGUGUUUUACUUUGUACAUGGGCCCAUCUGUGGACUGAGAUUUGCGGAAGAAAAAAAGGUUGGAAGCUAUAAAAGGGCAAAAAAAAAAAUCAUAGGGCACAAGGGGUGGGCCCAUGUAUUUUUCAAUUUUUUUUAAAAUAAAACCCAUAAAAAUAAUAUUUUAGAUAAAAUUACAAAAUAUUUUUAAAUAAAAUGGUAAAAUCCUUUUUCUUUAAUAAAGUUGUAUAACCUUUGAAUGAAAAUAGGAAACCCUUUUUUAAAAAUCAUAUUUUUUUUAUAAAAGUAAAAAAAAGUAUAUAUAUUUUCUUAAAAAAUAAUAAAAUUAAAAUUCUCUUUUCAACAAAAAUAGGGAUAAAAUCUCUCUGUUUUUUUUAAUUGUUUUCUUUAUAUAAUUUUGAAAUUGUUUUUCUUAAAAAUAAUAAAUUAUAAUUUUUUUUAAAAAAAAAUUGAAAUAAUUUGCAUAAAUCGUAGAGUUUUGUUUUUUUUGGGAGAAUUAGCUUUUGAGGGUAGAUGAGCCUCCAAAUUAACAAAAGGUGAAUAUAACUCUUUAAAUUGAGUUGAAGGAUAUGAAAUAGUAAUGGACAAAUAUACCCUUUAAGAACACAUAUAAAAUAUUUUAUAAAAUUAAGUUAAAUAAUUUUUUUUCAAUAAUUUUUUUUCAAAAAUACUAAAUUAAAUAAAAGUAGUUUUCAAAAAUAUUAAAUUAAAUAAUUUUUUUUUCAAAAAUAUUAAAUUAUUUUUUUUUCAAAAAUAUUAAAUUAAAUUAAAGUAUUUAAAAAAAAUAUUAAAUUAAAUAUUUUUUUAAAUAUUAAAUUAAAUAAAUUUUUUUUUUAAAAUAUUAAAUUAAAUAAAUUUAUUUUUAGAAAAUAUUAAAUUAAAUAAAAAUAUUUUUCAAAAAUAUUUUUAUUUUAAAAUCAACAAAGGGCAUUUUUGGAAAUACUAAAUGAUGAUAUCCUUCAACUCAAUUUCUAUACUUUCAUUGAGUCUUGGGCUCAAUUUGAAGAGUUACAUGGACCUUUUGUUAAUUUGGGGGUCCAUCUACCCCCAAAACAUAAUUCUCCUUUUUUUUUUUUUUUUUUAUAAAAUUGAAGAACUUUCUUUAAAUAAAACAAAGUUAAAAUCAUUUUGUAAUAUAACUUUUCUAAUAAAAUUACAUAAAAAUCACGUUUCUAAAAUCAGUACACGAUCAAGUACAACGAUACAACUGGCCAAAUUUUAGAAGACUUUUUACGGGGAUGGAAAGGAAAUAUUUUAAAAUAGGAAAUUUUUUUAUUAGAGUAUUACUUUGAAAAGAAAUUAGGAUAAAUUUAAAAUUCAGAAAACUAAUUUCAAGUCUCACUUUAUAUAUAUGACAAUGCAUGAACAUGUUUCACCUUAAAGCAAAGGAUGUGUAAUUGAAAAUUAUUACUACUAAAUUGGUCAUCAAAAUUGUGAAUGCUCAAUUCAAAAAAAUUGAAUUUGACAAGUGAUAUGCCAUAUACCUUGGACAUAUGACAUGCAAUUUAAGAGGUGAUAUGGAACAAAAUUUUGAAGGCUAAAAAAUCAAGUUUGAAAACAAUAAUAAUAAUACGUAGAUCCAAAAGAGAAUUAAAAAGGAAACAUGGUUUUUAUCAAUAAAUUUCUUAAAUGAAAGAAGACAAUCAAAUUUCUUGUAUUGAGCAAUCAAAUUUAGGAAUAUGAAACUCAAUUCCCAUGUUCCAUGUAUAUAUAAAGGUAACCUUUUUCAAUUCAAAUAUGAUUUGAAAGCUAAAGUACAAAGGCCCUUAUGAGUCACAUCAAGUACCAACACAUGCCCUUCACUACCUUGAAAGGUCAACAAAGUCAUUAUGGGGAUCUUAAAGGUUGAAGCAUGCACAAAAGUCCCUAUAAUUUUGUGAAAGCAGAUCAAAUAUCAUACACAUUCUUUCCACCAUGAACAAAAAUCAAUAAAGUCUCUUGAAAUAAGUCAUGUUAACCUUUAAACUUCAAUCCCAAAAAAAAUGCUUGUAUCAUUAUCUUUGGAUUAUAAUCUAAAUGAUCAAAUUAAAGAAAAAAAUUAUUUUGUAAAGAGCAUUAUUGCAAAAGAUUAUACCUCCCAUUAAUUUAAUACAAACAAUGUUGUUCAUAUAUUUUUCUAGGAAACUUGUGUUUUAAUGAGGCCAUUUGGGAAAUAUAUGGUUUUCGGAACCCAAUUUUAUGAAAUUUGAAAACCAACUUUUAAUGUGAAAAGUUAUAUAUUUUUCAUGCACUCUGAGCCGACUCCAUAUUUUGUGCCAAGAUUGGCUUCCCAGGUCUCUAGGUCAGCAACAUCUUUGAGUCUAUCUCAGCACGGGCCGAAACUGAACUGCUGAAAAACUCAAAAAUUAAAAUUUGACCUUCCCAAAAAAACACCCUAGCCGACAACACCUGUAAUGUCCUACAUCUAGGACUUUCCCUCUCUCUCAUUUGAUACCCAUUUCUCUUAUCUUUCUUCACUCCGUCAUUGAGGCGAAGCAGAGAAUCGUGUAUAUUUUUCAAAAUUUUCUCUCAUUUCAGUUCAGAAGCCCUUAAUCCCAAACUCCAAUCUACACUUUUCUUUCUUCAGCCGCUUCUCCUCUCAAAGUCCUGACCAUUCGUACCCGAUCGUCCCAAUUUCCUCAUCCCAGACUCCAAUCGCCUAUAUGUUUUGAUUGAAAUUCUGGUUAAGGCUAGCGAACCAGAAUGGAAACGACAACUGUGAUAUAUUGGCUUCAUGAAGAAGAAAUCUCCUAUUUGUCUCAUUGGGUGGAAUUUUGCCCUAACCCCCACAUAAAAUCUUAAGGUAAUUAAUUUUUAUUUAGGGUUGUUUUGAUUUUUUUUUUUUCAAAUAGAGCAUAAAAGCGAUUGUGGAGUGGUAGUUGCAAUCCCAAUUUUGUGUGCAUUGGUGAGGCCAUAGCUUAAGGCGCAUGUGGAUUUUGGACGACAUGAUCAGACGCUCGAUCUUUGUCUUUUUGUGGAUUGGAGAUUCAUGAAAUGUAAAAUGAAAGUGGUAAUUUAUUUUUGAUUGUCAAAAGAAUUUGUGGAGAUAUAUAGAAAUUGGGUGGAAGACCUUUUUUUUUUUUGACAUUUUUAGACUGAAGGUAAUUAUCGAUGACUACAAUUAGGUAAGAUCAUCUUCUGGCGAAAAACUUCAUAAUUCAAUCAUAUUUGUUAAGACUAAAAAUAAUAAUAACAAUAAGAAUUAAAAUGAAUAAAUUAUGUGCUAGUUAGUAGAAAUUGUUGGUAGUGUUUGUGAAUUUGUAAUGUUUGUUGGAUUGUGAGGGUACAUCUUUCACAAAGCUAGUGUGGUUUGAUUAACAUGUUUGUCUUUAUUGGGAAUGGUUUCAUUGUUGUAGUCUUUCAAAAUUUCUUUGUAGAAAGGCUGAAUUUUAGUGAUGAUAUGAAAUAAAACCAUUAUAAUCUCCUUUGAGUAAUAUUUAAAAUAUCUCAUUAUGAAAUUUUGUAAGCUUGGCUUUCACUAAUUAUAUUAGAUUAAUCGAUCCAACCAUUAUUAUUUCUCCCUUUUGCGAUAAUAAAAACAUUUUAUCUACAAAGGAAGUGUUUGCAAAUUGAUUUGAUGUUGGAAAGAGAAGAGAUAAUGGGGGAUGCUGAUGUUUCGAGGGGAGUACAUAAGGGGUUUCGAAUAGAUUCUUAUGAUCUCAUUAACAUGAUCAAUUUUGGGUAAUCAGUGAUUGGGAGGAUCACUUUUGAAUAGUGACUUUAUCAAUCCUAGGUAGCUGUUUCAUCAACCAUAGGACCUACUUUUGUCCUUGAAUUUCGUUCUAGUUUGAAAAUUAUUCGAUAUAUGUCAAACUUCUGAACUCAGUGCAUAAUUGACUGAAUUGUCAAUGACAUUGUUAUGUUCUAAAAUAUGUUUUUUAGAAUGUUCUACUUUGGUACUAGACUAAUGCACUUUAGGUACUAUCUUACUACUCUUUAGAUAGUAAGGUACAUUUCGUUACUACCCUUAAUGCAACUUGGACAAAAUUUUGCACUUCUGUGAUGAAGACACAAUUCUUUCAUUCAUUGCAUUACAGAUUGGAGCAUGACAUUAUUCUGUUAUUAUUGGCUAGUCAAUUCGUAGCUUAAGUAAUCAUAACAGUUUAAAGAUACCACCUUAAUGCACCUUAGGUACGACCUUAAUGUACCUUAAGUACUACCUCAAGGUCCUUUAAGUACUACCUUAAUAUCCCGAAAGUUCUACCUUUAGCACAUUGUCUUGACAUUUGUGAACCUGCUCGAUACACCUGAUCAGAGCUUGGCCAUUAGCUUUGUAAACCAUACAUAGUUACUAUGUGAAUCCAUUGUACUACCAUGGUCAAUGAUGAGAUGUAUCUUUGGAAAUACAAUUCCAUCCUAGUUUGACAACGAACCAAGAAACGAGACUGAAUAGAUAGUUUCCUUGAUUGAGUAUGGCAUUAUAAUGUUAUAAUAGGUUGGGCAUCCCAUUGACCUUAGGGAAUACCUUAUUACACCUCGUUCACUACCUUGAUGUGACUAAGUUACUACCUUUAGGUGCCUAAUGUCACGGACUUAGUCAUUCACUAAGCUCGUGUGGCACUUAGGCAAGUCAAGACGCUUGAUCUUGCUAAGUCAGCCUUGUUCCCAAUGCUUAGCUUGCUAGGCUAAGACGCUCACGACUCGAAAGUUUAAGAAGCUUAGUAGGCAACUCUUUAAAGAAUGGAAGCUCUUAUUAACUCAAGGAAGCCUUUACAAGUGCUUGGAAGCUCACUUGCUUGGUUAGGAAGUGAUUUGGGUGGUGCCUUGGCCAAAUGAGGGCCUUACCUAUUUAUAGGCACCAAUGAAACUCUCUCGAACCUUAGAGGGUUCCUUACAAAUCAAGAAUAUUCUAGAACUCCCUACACUUAUCUAUGUACAACCUUAUGUACAAGAAUAUACAAGAAAUCUCUAGAAUUAUCUAAAAAGCCCUGGACUCCUCUCAUGUCUUCCACUAUAGUGUAGAGAUGUGUGGACUUUUCUAGACAUCUCUAAAACCUUCCAUACUCUUCCCACUAAUGGCUUAGUGUAGAUGGCUCCAAGAGUCUCUAGAAGCUUAUUGGGCUCUAUAUAAGCCCAUGGGGAGGGUUAUUUGAAGCAUCCUGUGACACUAAGGUCAUACCUUAAUAUACUUAAGGUACUACCUAAGUGAACCUUAGGUACUACCUUAGUGAACCUUAGGUACUAGCUUAGUACACCUUAAGGUACUACCUUAGUGCACCUUAGAUACUACCUUAAUGCACCUUAGGUACUACUUGAGUGUAUCUUAGGUACUACCAUUGUCAACCUUAGUUUUUACCUUCAAUCAUCUUAGGUAGUGCGUUCAUUAAGCAUGGGUAGUUACUUUAUAAAUCCAACGUAACACCUUUGUCAACUAGGUUACCUAUGUAUGCCAUUGAAUUCUAGCUUAGUUUGAAGAUUUGACUAUAUAUAUGUCGGACUUUUGGACUCAAUAGCAAACCAUAGUAUUAGAAUUGUCUAUGACAGUAUUAUGUUCUAAUUUUUUUUUUUAUGUUCUCCUUAGGUUGUAACCUAAUGCACUUUAGGUACUACUAUAAUGCAUUUAUGUCCUAUCUUACCACUCACUAGGUACAUUGCUUACCAUUCCUUAGGUACUAAGGUCCAUUUGAGUACUACCCUUAAUGCACAUUGGAGAAAAUGUUGAACUUCCGUACUACAAACACAAUUAUUUCAUUGCAUUACAGAUUGGAUCAUGGAUUUCUUAUGUUGUUAUUGGUUGCUAAAUUGGUAGCUUAUGUAACCAUACCAUAGUGAAGGUACUAUUUUAAUGCACCUUAGGUACUACCUUAAUGAACCUUAGGUACUACCUUAAUGUACCUCAGGUACUGCCUUAAUGCACUUUCGAGAAAUUUUCCUCUUAGGUCACUAAAGACACAAUUCUUUCAUUGCAUUACAGAUUGGAGCAUGACUUUGUUAUGUUGUUAUUGGUAACUCAAUGUUGAGCUUAUGUAAUCAUACUAGAUGAAGGUACUACCCUAAUGCACCUUAGGUAGUACCUUAAUGAACCUGAAGUACUACCUUAAUGUACCUUAGGUACCACCUUAAUGCACUUUCAAGAAAUGUUGCUUUUCAAUCACUGAAGACACAAAUCUUUCAUUGCAUUAUAGAUUGGAGCAAGACAUUGUUCUGUUGUUAUUGGUUACUCAAUCAGUUGCUUAUGUAAUCAUAACAAAUUUAAGGUACCACCUUAAUGCACCUUAGGUACUACCUUAAUCAACCCGAGGUACUACCUUAAUGUAUCUCAGGUACUACCUUAAUGCACAUUAGAGAAAUGAUGCUCUUCUGUCACUGAAGACACAAUUCUUUCAUUGCAUUACAGAUUGGAGCAUGGCAUUGUUAUGUUCUUAUUGGUUACUCAAUCGGUAGCUUAUGUAAUCAUAAUAAAUUUAAGGUAUUACCUUAAUGCACCUUAGGUACUAUCUUAAUGAACCUGAAGUACUACCUUAAUGUACCUCAAGUACUACCUUAAUGCACCUUCGAGAAAUGUUGCUCUUUUGUCAAUGAAGACACAAUUAUUUCAUUGCAUUACAGAUUGGAGCAUGGCAUUUUUAUGUUCUUAUUGGUUACUCAAUUGAUGAGCUUUUCUAUCAACUCUUCCAUUAGGUAUUUGUAGCAAUCAUCAACAAAAUUAAUAACGUUUUGGCUAAAGGAAAUAAUGACGGCUGCCACAUGUUCACAAGGGAUUCCUAACAUCUACCAACCCCUACAAGUACAUGUACGGUUCAUAAUGUCUACAUUCAACAAGGCCCUCCCGAUUCAUACCCCAAAUACUUCAUUCAUGAACGGAGUCACCGGAUACACCUCACCCUUUGCAAUAUUUUGCAACACCUUAUCUUCAAUUUUUAGGCCUAUAGACCCUUUCCAAUUGUUGGACUCUUCUUUAUGCUUCACAAGUAUUUCUAAUAAAAAGUUACAAAUAGAGUGAUGUCUUUCAUUUCGUAACCAAGCAUUAAACAACUUGGCAAGGUUGGUAGUCAUUUUAUCCUUUUUUUUUUUUUGGAAUUUUGACAUGGUCCAAUGGUGAGACGCAUUUUCUUCAACCCAUGUGGCUAAAGCAUAGUUGUAUUUUUUUUAGUUCAAACAUGGAAAUAUUAUAAUCAUGUUCUAACCUUGCAUCUGCAAUACUAUCUAGGAAUUGAAGUGCAUUUUCUUUACCCUUGUUCCCUCGUGUGUUAUGCUUGGACAAGAAACUACUAUAAUUCUCCUUCAAGUGACGGUAGUAAUAGACAUGGUUUUCAAGGCCAAAUACCUCAAGAACACUACGAAGGAGAGCAGGAUGUCUAUCUGAGAUAAUAAUAACUUCGUUAUUUCCGACAACUAUCUUCAUAAUUUUUUGAGCUCAUCACUCCAAAGGCUAAGGGGAACAUGGAGUCAUUAGCAUCGUAGGCGGUGGCUGAAAAUAGCGCACCGCCAUGUGGCCCACUCAUAUGGGCUGAAUCAAUUGCAAUGAUUGGUUGACACCCCAUUAGAAACCCUUGGAUGGAUAUUGAAUGAGCAACAAAAAGCUGCUCAAAAUGGCCAUCAUCGAAAUAACUCAACUCAACGCUCGAUCUCGGAUUUGUUGCAAACAUUCUUUCACCCAUCCAUGGCAACAAUUUGUAAUAUUUUUUAGGUAGUCCAUAAAUGCGCUCCUUAGCCUUUUCUUUCAUUUUCCAUGCUUGAAGGUAAGUCAACUGGAUGCCAUAUUGCCUUACAAAGUCCUUACAAAUUUGUCAAUUUUGGUAUUCAGGAGUAGAUCGAAUGACAUCAUCAUGCCCACAGAGGCAUGAGUGGAUCUCACUAAAGGUUGAGAGGAGGCAACAUCUUCCAAGUAAUGGUUAUGCACAUUUCGAAAUGUGUGAACUUGAACAAUGUUGGAAUUCCCUAUUGCAUGAGCAGUGAUUUUCCAAAGACAAUCUUGAAUUGUGCAUACUACGGUCAUGUGUUUUGAACUAUUCCUUUUGUAAGAAUAUCGGAAUUUUCCAGCCAAAAACAUCAAAUAGAUUGCAUCUCAAAACUCCAAGGCAUUUGGGAAGGUAUGUCCACUACCUGUAAUUGAAUGUUGGAACCGACUUGGUUGAAUUUGAAUGAUAUUUGUUUCAGCACAUCUUUGGGAAAACCCAAAUGACUCAAUUGUAGGCGAGUCAUUAGACAUGUGCAAUGACAGCUCGCCAAUGGAGGAAACAUGUGCCAAAUUGGAAGCAACAAUAGGUGUUGGAGCAUUACGAAAAAGACACGAAAAGAAAUUGCUCAUCCAUUGACGUAUGUGUGAAAAGUGAUUAUACAAAACAGAAAAUGAUUGUGGGAAGCCAAAAGGUACCUAAUAGGGGGAAUGAAGCCAUCACCACUUUUAGUACAUUAGCAAACAUAGGCGCGACAAAACAUGUCGUUGAAUUUGAACAUAUUGAGUAUGUCGGCAUCAUCAUGCAACGAGAGUAGACAUGAUGGGUCAAACUUCACUUACAAAUCCAAUUUCAUUGAAUUGGCCUCUAAGUUUAGUUCACCACAUACUUUUGAAACAAAUUCAAAAUGUGAGAUAUUCUUGCUAAUGACAAUGCAAUUAGUCCAACCACUCUUAUAUUUGACGGACCCAACAACAGUCUUAACAAGCUCACCACUUUCAUGAAUUUAACAAAACAUCUCCUCUUCCAUUUCCUUAAUGAUAUAAAGAUUUGUUACAAACAAUACAACAACGAAAGAUUGAGGAAUUAUGUAUGUUGAUUGCAUUACUUGUAUGUAGGAAACAUAUAAGCUUCACAUACGCAUUGUCGAAGCUUCCAACAACGAACUACCUAAUUAAGGUUUAGACAUGAUCAUUGGAUGAUGCACAAAAGUAGUGUGCAAGUGCAACUAUGGUAGUACCUAAGGAUCACUAACUUAGUACCUAAAGAUUACUAAGGUUGGACCUAAGGUUAAUUAAGAUAGUACCUAAGGUACAGUUAGUAGUAAAUCUAAGGGGAACCAAAUGAACAGAGUAAUCAAACACACAAUGCCAUGAUCAAUUGUAUGUGGAAGUGAAUACAAUUUAAUUUAUGCAUGGAUUGAAAACAGCUCGUGGGUCCUAUGUUUGACAAAUUGACUCCCUUGGGUUUAAGAAUAAGACAACUUAUAUUCACAGAUGAAGUAUCUGAAUGUUCAAAAAUGCAGUUUCUAGUCGUCACAUAGGUAGUACCCAAGGUGGGCUAAGGUAGUACCUGAUGUUGACUAAGGCAGUACCUAAAGUCAAUUAAGGUCGUACUUUCAGGAAGAUUAAGCUAGUACGUAAGGUUCAUUUAGCAGUCGAACAAGGUUAACCAACUGAUCACCAAAAUAAAACACAAUGGGCUAAGGUAGUACCUAAUAGCUUGGUAAGUUCUAUGCGCAAUUGAGUAUGUUUUAUGGACGUAGCCCAUGCAAUGCCACUUAUUGGUUAUAUCCUUGCCAAAAGGACUACGUAACAUUGACAAAGGAAUUACCUAAUGUUAAGGAAUGAAGUUACUAAGGCUAAUUUAUUCCUCACUAAUAUUAUGAUGGACAUGUGAAACUUACAAUGUCAAGUACAUUGAGUGUCCAAAUAAUAUAGGAAAAUGGUACAUAUAAGUGUAAUAUAUAAACAUAGGGAUGAAAAAUAAAUGUUUAGGUUCCCAUGUAUUUAUAACAACAUCCAUGUCUAAAGCAUGCCAAAUCUAGUUUCAUAAUGCGUAGAACUCUACAAUGUUGGUUAAAGAAGAAGUACCGAUGGAGGCUUGCAAAAGAACCGUACUAUAGGUUGAAAUGCCUUCAAUUUACAACUUCAAAUGGAAUUAGAAGAAUAUCACCUACAUAAAUGAAGCAAAGGAUAUGUCAAAUUGCAUAUUGUAAGGAAUUAAAAAGAUGUUCAAAUUUUAUACUAAAACUUAUCAACAAAGCAACUUUUAAGUAGCUUGUGCAUUAAAUGUCAACAUUUCUAAGUCAUUAAAAUACUGGACCAAAUUUAGGUCUUAGAUCACAUAUAAAUUGUAUGGUGCAUAGAUAACAAAGUGGUCUUCCAACUGGCACAUUCAUUUCCUAAAAACUAUCAAUUUGGUUCUUUACAUAUUCUGAAAAUCUCCAACUUUACAUAUUGAGGAUUUUUAAUGAUAUUCAAAUUUAUAUGCCUUAAAUUAAUGGCAAAAUCUUAACAACAUCCAUGCCUUAAUGAAUAUGAGAAGUGAACCUUUUCUAACCAGCACACCACUUCUAAAAAUUUGGUUAGCCAUAAUGAGAAGCAAGGUUUUGUUAAAUCAACUUAUUUUUUUAGGGCAUUUUCAUGAGGAUGUGAAGUUUGUUUNNNNNNNNNNNNNNNNNNNNNNNNNNNNNNNNNNNNNNNNNNNNNNNNNNNNNNNNNNNNNNNNNNNNNNNNNNNNNNNNNNNNNNNNNNNNNNNNNNNNAACAAGUUUAUGGUCAGCCAUGGAGAGGAAGGUAGUUCUCUAUUCUAUAGAGGACCAAAACUAAGAACAAUACCCAUGGAGAUCUAGCUCCUCUUCACAUUGUUUAUUCAUAAAGAACCAUUUAUCUGAAGACAAGAGUCAUAAAAUUUUCAUUUCUUCAUUAAAGUCAUUGAAAAUUUAGUUCCUUCAUUUGAAGGGUUACAAUUAUUACCUGCAUAUAUAAAAAAUAAAUUUGACCAGAUAAUUUUAGUUGUUGAAACCUGUAUCAUUUUUUCUAAGCAUUUAUAGCAACUGCCUAAUAUUUCAAGUAAUUUUAUAUAAAUAUAUGAAAAUCAAACUAAUAAAAUGAUCAAAUCUAGGUCAUUUUGUACUAAAUGGGAGCAGUCACACAGACAAACAAAACAAAAAAUAUAUAGAUCAAGAAGGUUGAACCCAACACAUCUAAGAACCACUUCUCUGAUACCAUAUCAAGCAACCAUUUGUCCCAAAUGCUUAAAACAUCAUGAAAUGAACCAUAAAUACAUAGGAAUCCAACAAAUGGACCUUAAAUAUUUUGAGAAUGACUAGACAUUGCAAAAGAUCAAACUCAAAUCAACGAUUUUAAUUUUUCCUAGUGGUUGGUGUUUGUGCUUAGUUGUGAAAGAUCAUAGUGACUUUGAGUGAUAAUUGUGAUGGGAAUGAUGAAAAAGGUGAAGAUGCUAUCAACUUUGGCUGUAGCAGUGAUGCACAUGGCAGAAUAUGGGAAUGAAAAUUAAUAUAAAUGUAGGCCAAUUGCCAUAUCAAGAUGAAAAUGGCUAUUGUAGAAAUGAGGAAUCCAACCCAUUGCCUAAUGCAAAAUUGUGAUGAACAUGAUCUAAACAAAGAUUAUUUCUUUUAAUCUCAUCAACUUUUUUUGUUGCAAAGAUAAAUUUUGGAAGAUGAAAAUGUUGAUUCAGUUGGACUUGUUGUAAGGACCAUAUUUUUCGAUAGGCAAAUAUAUAUUAACAACAGCUAAUGACACACCAAAAUACACACAAUGUAUAAAAUAAGCACUAACAGGAAAGUAAAUUGGAUGCCUCAGGUAGAAAAUAAUUGAUUGAGACGAGGUCUAGGGAGCGAGUGGAGAAAUGGUGACAAAGAAUUAGAGAAAUGAAAAUGACUUACUUAGCUUUGACUAAACAAGGGGUAUUCUAAACUACCAAAAAUAAUGAAUGACAUUAUGCAGGAAAGGAUUGUCCAUAGCUUUAUGCAGAAAAGGAUAUUGUUAUCUCACAAACCUCAGGAAAUGUUUGUAUGAUUCUCAAACACCUUAUGCAGUAAACCCUUCAUAUUGUGGUUGAUAAGUUGAUCUCCAUUAUAAUUUUGUGACUUAACCUUUCCACUGUUCUUAUAUAUAUAUAUAUAGUCCAAAGUGCAUUUCCUCCAUUCUACUUGCAUUCCCUAGUUCCAAUAAUCUUAUUAAGGAAAUUUAAACCACACCAUGGAUACCAACACUUCCUAUAUAGCCUUUCCUAUUUCCAUCUUCUAAAAGGGAUCUCUAAAUCAAUAUCAAUUACUAAUCAACAAGAAGAGUAACAUAUACUAACCAAAAUUUUUUGAAAGAAUGGGACGUAAAAUUAAAUUAAAAAAAAAUAAAACAAAAAAAAGAAAGAAACAAAGAAAACUUUAGCACCCAUUAUCCAUCAAUAUCACAAAAGCCCAAAAAGCAAAGUAAUUUGGAAUGUAAAAAUCACAAUUCCAGAAGCACUUAUUUCGCUCUCAAAAGAAAUACAUCCUCCCGAAAAAGUGUUAUCUUUUGGUAAUCCACUUGAAAACCUAAUCCUCCCAAUCUAAAAACACAAUCCAAGAAAUGGGUUUCACUAAUGCAUUGUUUCUAAACACCCAAAAAAAAACUCAUUAUGAACUCCUAGAUGCCAAAAUUUUAGCCACACCCAAUUGAGAAAAAGACCCAGACAAACAGGAAAUUUUAGUGAAUGUGAAUGCGAAUGAAAAAAAGGAAAAGAAGGAAUGAGUUACCUCGAGAGAUAAAAUCUAAGCCUCCAAACCCACAAAAGCGAUUCCCUCUAUCACUCACUUCUCUCAAUGUCUACCAAAAACAUGUCUUUCUUACUCCAAAACACUCACUAUAUGUCCCCUCAAAUCUUACAGAAAAAAUGGUAUGAUUUCUGACAGCAAAAGAGAGCAGUGUACGAAGGGACCUAAAUGAGUAGUAUUGUUCAAGAUGUGGUUGGCUGGAAACACAGUGGGGUUAGGGCAAAAUGAAAGCAUGAAGUUUUGGGAAAAUUGGUAUGAUCGGGUUCAGAUGGUCAAAUAUUGAUUUUUUUGUGUUUUUCAACUGUUCGGUUUCGGUCCGUGCUGACAUGGACUCAAGAUGCUACUAACCCAGAUACCCAGAGGUCUAAUCUCGGCACAAAAUAUGCAGUCGGCUCAUAGUGCAUGAAAAAGUAUAUAACUUUCCACAUUAAAAGCUGGUUUUCAUAUUUCAUAAAGUUGGGUUCCGAAAACCAUAUAUUUCGCAAAUUGCCCCAUCAAAACACAAGUUUCCCUAUUUUUCUUGUUAUUUUACUUACGACUUCAAAAAUUUAAAUAUAAUAUUAUUUAUUCAAUGAUCCAAAUUAAAUCUUUUAAUUAUACAUAUUCAGUCAUUUAAAUUCAUUUAUUAAAACCUUCAUAAAUCAUAGAGUGAAAUAAUUUAAUGAAAAAACAUCAAUGGAGAGACAUGAAGAUGGUGAUAAUAACUCCUAAUUUUGACAUAUACAUGUCAUUUUAAAAGGCAAUGAUCACUAAAUUGAUAAAAUCAUACGCUAAGUUAGUCCCAUAAUCUUGACCAAUUCCUAUAACUCAACCAACAUGCAACCUAAAUUGUUACAUAGUAAAACAUGUGUGAGUUCCCAAUUUUACCCUUUUUACAUAAUUGAUCUACUAUCCUAAAAUAAAGAGCUUCAAUUCUAUAAUUCUAUUAGCAAACUUUGAGAUAUUUUUGAGUAAUUUGGAUCAUUAAAACAUUUAGGAUAUGUUUGGUUUUGUGCAUUUAACAAAGAAACUACAAUAAAUGAAUAAAUAAAAAAGAAAAAAAAAUGAAUGAAUGAAUUUGAAUUGGUUAUAAGAAAAAAGAAUACGGAUAUUUUUUAGAAUAAAGCAUGGGUUAUUUGGAUAUGAGUUAAAAUAAUUAUCAAAUUAUAAAAUUGCUAUUUUUUUUGCUUUAUUAAGAAAUAAUUCUUUUUGAACACUUUUACCUCUUUAUUUUGUUUGUUUUUAAAAAUAUCAUUUUUCCAAUUAUUUUAUUAUUUUAUUUCAUGCAAUAACACAUUUAUCUGUUCGGUUCAUUUUUUUCCCCUUUUACAUAACUGUUUUAUUUCUCAAAUAACUCAUUCUUGCUUUAAUUAAGGUUAAUUUAAGAAAAAAAAACGCAACAAAAAAACAUAAGAAAAAACCCCAGCAAAAAAUCUCAACAAAAACCAACUUAAAAAUCGCACAAAAAAGACAACAAAAUAACUACAAAAUCCUUAACAAAAAAAUAAAAUAAAAUAAAAUAAAAAAAUUGAAAGAUCUUGAAAAAGAAAGAAAUAUGAGGAAGUUGUGGUUGAUCUUUAUCCUUUUAUGAGUUUGAACUUCAUUACAAAAUUCACUAGAAAAAGGGAGAGAGUAUGGAGAUAAUUAGGUAUCAAAAAAGGAAGAGAUGAGAUAUUUGUGAGUAAUUUGAGUCAUGAAUGGUAUUAUAUGUAUUGAAUGUUCUAAAAUAUUAUACAUAUUUAUGAUUUCCAUGGUCUAAUUAUUAGAUGUCACUUAACAAAAUGAUAAAAAUAAUAAUAAAAUAAUUGUUUUAAUAAAAUAUACUCCAAAUAUUUGGUUCUAUUUAUUAAAUAAAGAAAUUAUAAUAAAUGAAUGAUUUUUUUUUUAAAUUAAUAAGAGGAUUGUGGACCCUGCAUUUCGGCUUGUGUGCUUCCACUCGAUGGCGAACUCACUUUUUAUUGGAAAAAUGAUUUAUUUAUUAGAAAAUGACUUAGAGAGUUGCCACCUAUUUUUGUUUUUAUUUUUAAAAAGUAAACAAAAUAAGAAAGAAAACCAUAAGUGUGACACCUUACUUUGGAAAAGGUGGUCUGUGAAAAACCGGAUCAAGGCUCGGAGGUCAGGUUACUUAUCAGGAAGGUACGGUAAAGACCAUAGCACCCCUCUAAGUCCCUAGAAAAAUGGGUAUCUAAUAAUAAAAUGAAGCAAUCAUGACAAUUGGUAAGAAAAUCAAUGGAUACCUAGAAUGAUAAUGCACAUGUGAGAAUCAAAACACUCAAUAAAGAAUGGCCAGAGUGAGAAUGAGUGUGUACCUUGGCAACGAGCUAUAAUGCGCUAUCAAGAAAUGGAGUCAGUGCACAAUUAAUGAACAUAAAAUAUGGCUCACAUGUCACUAAACAGAAUGAGAAAUCAUCAGAUAUCACAAUUCAAUCAGAUUUAUUCUUAGAGGAAACAUUCACUAAUGUUGGGUCCUUAUCAAAGCCCAAUUUAUUUUUGCAUGAACCGAUUCCAUGCAUUCCAGCACUUGGAAUUAUGAAAUUUGAUUCUUGCUUAUUUAAAAACAUUUUAAAAAAAGAAGAGAUGUAGAGAUGGCUUGCCAAAGAAAAAAAUGGCAACAAAAUUUUAUUGAAAAGUGAAUUUUUGAAACCUAAAAAUUCUAAGGAUGAAAAUUUUGAAGAAUUUAAAUUAUUUGAAAAACUAAAAUUAGGAAAAUCAUUUGAAAAUUGAAAUUUGGGAAAUUGUUUUUAAAAUCAAAGAGGAAGAAAAAAAAAAGGACAUGUGGCCUAAAGGUGGCAAUGCAAACCAUGCAUAUGAUCCCAGGGGUGCAACUGGCAUUGUACUGUGAAGUUGGUGAUGGCAAGUGUUGUUCUCUCAUCUGGCAUGAAGUUAUCAUUAACCUUCAACAAUUUAAAUCCAAACUUACUUGCAACUUCAGUAAUUUCAAAGUCAUUGCCUUCACAACCUCUUCAGAAAUUCUCUUCUCAAUUUCUUCUUUGGGCUUCUCGCAGUAGAGACUCACAAUACAACUUUUUGGCUCUCAAGUUGGGUAGUAAAGAAAUCACCAUGUUCAUUGACAAUAAUUUCUAACUCUACUGUUCAAAAGAGCCUCACUAAUUCCAGCAUCAUCAUCUCAGUUAUCACUUCUAUAACCGUGAUUGGCAUGCAAUGAUGAGCAUCCAAUUCAACUAGCUUUUUGGGGAGAUCUGCUUUGGCAUUAUGGUCCUCAGAAUGACGUGUUGUAAGCUGUUGUUUCUCUCGAUGGAAUGGAAGGGUCGACUGUCUCAUUUGAACACUAAUGUGGUGCAACUUAGAAUCAUACUUGCUUGAAUCAACAAGAGUAGCGUCAACCAUAUUACCCAACAUUGCAUUAGGAGCAUGUGGAACAUUUCUUGAACAAUUGUAAGCCAAAGUAGGAAUAUAAUCAAAACCAAGCUGUUCAAGUGGCUAUUCAUUUCAUGAUUCAUCAUCAUAUGAGCUGCAAUACCUGGACUAUUAAUCAGGUUAGGCCCUCUCGGUGCCAGAUUUCAACAUGGCAUGCAUCAGACAUGGUGAUUCUUUCAGGAAUCAUGAAGGCUUUGGACAAUCUCGUCUUCUUCAUCGUUCUCACGCCAUCAACCAAAUGGGUAGGAAAUGAGGCCUUGGCAUUGGAGCUUCCAUUUUUGGCAUGAACCGUCUUCUUGGAGGCAAUGGAUGGGUUUAUCAAGUUCGAUUAUACGUCAAAGGAGUUUCUGACCUGGGCAUUACUGAAACACAUGGAGCUGAUGAUUUCGGUGUUACUUUUAGAGCGACAAAAUACAUUAUAGAUGGAUCUCAUUAGUCGCACUUGUAGAAUGGAUUCAGAUGCCUAUGUGUAGGCAUACUUGAGUGCCUUGAAAUUCUACUCAACUCCCAUGCAAGUCACCAAGUUUGGGAUCAUUUAGUCAACCCGCUUUUAAUGGAUUCCACAAGGACAACCUUAUUCCGUCCACACAUCUGGUGGUGAUGCAACAAAGGGAAUAUGCUGACAACCAACAGUAAAUCAUAAUUCUUCCCCAAGCUUAACAUAUACCUCCUCCAUGUAGAGGUUGCCAACAGUUAAAUGAGGAGCAGAAACUUUUUCUAUUGAGGAUCCCACACUAACUUCAAAAGUAUAUUCUGUAUAAUCUUCAGAAGGAGAUGGUCAGAUGGUUAAACAGUCCGCGCACUUUAUUCCCAGUUUAUUAAGAGCUACCACUCUAAAUAAGAGAACCCAUUCCUCCAAAUUGCCAAGUUUUCUACAUCUUUCACAUCAGCAUGUAUUCAGAACCAUGAAGAUGAUUCCUUUAAUGAUUCUCAAUCAACCCACCCUGCCCUGGAAUUUCAUAAAAAAAAAACCCACAUUGCCCAAUUGUAAAACAGCUGAACAUAUAAGUGGUCCGACAUAUUUUAUUUUUUUAUAUCAAACUCUUCAUCUUCAUUCUAUGGCUUCAAAUUUCUUGAGAACAUCGCAUCUAAAACAUCCACCACUUGUGGCUCAAAACCCAUGUGAUUACUACUCAAAAAGUGAUAUUUCAUAACUUGUAAUUAACUCUUUUAAACACUUUUGAGUAGUAAUUAUCACCUUUUAACCCAAUUAACAUAUUAAGGACCCUUACAAUCAAUUCUAAUCAAAUUGUGUUAAGUUUUGGUGUUUUGAUAGCUUUAUUAUCACCAAAGAAAUCUGAGAUGGAGGAGAGUUCUUUGGAAUCCAUGCAAGGAGUAUACCCGGACAGGGCGUCCGGAUACACCAUCAGAAGGCGUUCGGACCACAUAUCCGGAUAGGAUUUGCACCUGGCUGCCGCCAAUUUGCACCCGGCUGCCGUCAUUUUGCACCUGGCUGCCGCCAAUUUGUACCCGGCUGCUGCCACUUCCACCCGGAUGUUCACGUCCGGAAUUCAGGAGCCGGAUGAGAGAUGAGGCGUUUCAACUUCUUCGGACGGACAUAUCCGGAUCAUCUGAUAGCGUCUACCCGGAUGGGAAAGCAACCAUUUUGCACAGUGUUGCGGUGUUCUCUUAAAGCUUCCUGAUAUUUGCCACCGAUAUUUUGGGAUAUUUUGAGAUAUUUUGCUUUAGAUAUUUGUUGUCUAAAUCCCCAAAAUCUCCUUGUAACCCACCAAUUAUAGGAUUCCUUAGUUAUUAAGUUUGGAAAAAGGGUGAAUAACCUCAUAUAGAUAUUUUGUAAUUUUCCAUAUAUAUAUCUCUCGGGAGCUUGUUCUCGGGUACGACGAAAAACUUUUGUAUAGUUUUUAAAAGGAAGAAAAAUACAGAGCUUUGCUCUACUUUACCUUCUCAUUUUGAUUGUAUUUUCUUACUAGCCAAACAAGCUCUGAGGAUGUUUCCUCAGAGAAUGAGUGGCUAGACUUUUAGUUCCUUGGAGUUAAGGUUGCCGGGAAAGGUUCCAAGUGCAAGAAUUAGUAGCUUUGCGGUUUCAGACAUUAAUGAAGAGAAAGUGUGACCCGUUAAUGAUUUUUAUGUUUUUAGUUAACUUAAAACGCCUUUAAAUCACCUGGGCCAACACUUGAUAAGGCAAGUGAUCUCCAUCCAUUGAGAUGCACUAGUUUAUCUCUUGCGAGCCUUUGGGAGGUGGUUUGAAGGUAGGAUUUUCUAGAAUAGCCAACACUUGAUAAGCUUUUGGACUCCACGGAGACAUCCAUUAGUUAUCUCUUGCGAGCUUUUGAUGGAAAGUCCAAGGUUAAAGAUCACCUUGAAUGGCAAGUGCUAGGUGAGAGGUAUAAGUCAUUGCAAGGUGCAUCAGUGAGAGGGAUUUAGUGUUUGAACCCAUUAAAGGGAAGCAUCUGUACAACACCGGUUAGAGAGUUGGCUAUAUGCUAAUUCUCUAAUGCGAGGAAAUGAAUCAAAUGACCGGAGCUUUGUUUUUGCAUAAGGAACCUCCCCUGUGAACCUAAACCUCCAAGGAAUGUUUUUCUUCAUAAGUAAUUUCCAUUUUUUCUUUAUCGUUAGUUUAAACCAAACAUUUUUCAUCCAAAAAUUAUGUUUUCUUUUAAAGCUAACCUUGAAAUGAAAAGGCACCAAUUCAGCUUUGAAUUGGUAUCAUUUAUGAAUUGAAAACCCUUCCCAGUGAACGAUCCUAGAGCCACUAUGCUAUAGUAGCUUUGUCUUUGCUACCCUAGUUCAUGGUGUAAUAGGUUAUAAAUUUUGUUGAUUACUUCCUUAAGCAAGGAGCAUCAGCUGGACAUGAAUCAGCUGAUACACCGACUGGGCAUGAAUCACCAUGUCAAUCAUACAAUCACCCUCAUAUUGAACAGCAUAAUUGCAUUGGUUCAAAAUAGCAUGACAUCUCUCUAGGCAAUCAAUUAACCGCCCAGGUGUCGCAAUUACAACCUCACACCCUUGCUUGAUCCUAAACCCUUGCUCGUUGAUUGACUGACCACCAACAAUGGAGACCACUUUGAUACCUAAAUAAUGGCAAACUCAUCGGUCUCAUCCUCAAUAUGUUGUGCAAGUUCACGGGUAGGGAGAGAAACAAGGAUUCGGUGGUGUGUUUAAGGCUAAUGGAAAUGGGUGUGACGUGGAUAUGGUAAACGUGAAAGUCAGGACAAUGAGGAGUUAUAGAUGGGCACGUGCAUGAGACUUCAUGCACAUUGGAAAAUAGGCAACAAAGGGGUAAUGAAGGAAAUGGAUGGUGGAUAUGGGCAUGAAGGGCUUGAUGGGCAUGUUUGGUAUGAGGUUAAAGGUGGGGAAGAUGGGUAUAGUGGUGAAACAAUAUGCAUGAAGGGUGCGUGGUGUAGAGAAAUAAAUGGGUUUAUGGGAUUUAAAGAAAGGGUAACAUGCAUGGGAGGUUAUGAAAGACAAGUAUGGAAAUGGGUAUGAGAAGGGGGGCAAUGGGUAUGAGGAUGUAGAGAGACAGGAGGGUAAUGACGGGUUGAGCAUGAUGGGCAGGAGAUGUGAUAGAAAUGGGUCUAUUUGGGUAUGUGAAUAAUGGAAAUGCAUGAAGGGGCAUGGAGGAUAGGAUGGGUAUGUGGCGGGGUGGUGAUAUACAUGAAUGGAUCCAAUGUAAUAGGAAUUUUUAUUACAUGCAUGACAAACCAAAGUUGGCUGGUAUUGGACUGGGCAUGCAUCUUGAGAGCAAUAUGAUUUGCUCAAUUUUCAUCAGCAACCUCCUCAUCAAGCCUCCCAUUAGCACCAUCUAAACUUUAUGUAUGGUUUAUGCUUGGCAAGAAAUUAGAUCUUCAUGAAAACCAUCCAUUAAAAAUGCUAAGAGUUCCUAUGAAUCAUGCUGAUUAGGUCCACUGAAUUGUAGUGCAAAGCGAGGAAACUUUGUUUUGGAUGGCUAGAGAACAACUAGCGUUCGUCUUGAUGUCCACAGUUUUCAAAGUACCUUACCAAAUGCUAAGGCUAGCUCACCAACCACACCUAGAGGAUUCUGCCAGCUUAUCUUUUUAUAAUUAUCUUCAUGAAAAUAAUUAGCUAAUUCCGGUACAUGAACAGGGCACUAUAUUGCAUUAUUCAUAAAACAAGCUUUCCCAGAUUCAACAACUCAGUAAGGCCAACAAUCGACCUUUAGUACUUACGCCAUUGAAGAAGAACAACCUAGAGGAGGAGCUACUGUGGGACCUGACUUUGCCAUUGAAAAAGAUCGAGCAGGAGGAGAUGUAUAUUUUGUAAAAGGCAAUAUGGCUCAUGAAGUAAGUGUAGAAGGUCUUGAGGACUUUGAUGUUGCUGAUACAGUGGGUCAUCUAAGUAUUCUAGGACCCCAAAAGUCGUCUCAACUCGACUCACCAGGUUUUUAUAUCAUUUCAUAACGCGAAGUCAACGGAAUCUCAUUUCCUUGAAUCAAAGGCAACACAUUCACCAAUUUCUUAGCAAUAUGUCCUGGGGUUCCUUCUGUACCUAGAAGUCGGAUACUUGAAAAGGAAGCCUUCUAUCACCAAUCUGGGGAAGAUCCCCUUUAAAUAUCUUAUCGGAGAGGAUGUGACAUUGAAAUGGAUUUCUCCAUUGGAUUGUAUUAUUUUCGUCCUCACCAUCAAUAGAAACAACAACACAUCUUGUUUGAAGUAGAUCUCCUUCAUGCCAUACUUGCUUGACAACUUUCAACUCACCUAACGUACAAUAUGACAAUAUCUCCAAAAACUCCAACAUUGAGCUUUCUCAAAUACAUCCCAAUUUAGACGGUCAAGCCAAGAUAUGGUAUUCAUCACUCAAAAAGAAAAACAGAGCAUGUAUAAGAGAAGAUGUUGUCGUUAAAUCCAACCUCUAUUUUAAUGAAGAUCAAGGAGCUUUCAAAAGAAAUUGGUGGGAGAGUCCGAAUGGUCUUAAAACACAAAUAAAUAGCAUGACCAUCAUGCCACUCAUACCAGGGGAAACAGAGACCAAGCAAACAGAAACUGAGAAGCAGGUUUAACACAUUAGAUAGCCAAAACAAGCAUCCAGAUAUCAGAAAGAAGCAUGGUAAGACUGAAAAUAAAAUAAAAUAAUAUAGAAGUGGAGAACCUAAGGUGCGAAAUGAUCAAACCUGAGCGAUUCCUUCUCUACUCCUCUCUUACAGUCUUUAAAAAGCUCACUCUCGUUUUCCCUUAGGUUAUCUCCUCUCAAACAAAUAGCCACAAGAAUCCCCCUCAUUCAUUUCUCUUUAAGCUAUCUCUUCUAAAAAAAAAAAAAGGCUCUGCAACUCCGCAUUUUUCUGGUUCCCUCUCACUUUCCUUUUUUUUUCUCAAACUUUUUCUUCCUCCCCAAAACUCUCUGCAACUCAAAAAUAUCUAUCUCCCGCUACCCAAGAAAAGUCUUCUCCUUCUAAAUCACAGACAUGCUCUCUCCGUCCUACAACCAACCUACUCCUAUGCUCAUGGUUUAGCCAAGACGUCACCACCGGCUUCCCUGUUUCAACCAUCAUCCUAUGAAGCUCUAUGUCCCAGCUAUCAUUCCCCUCGUUCGGAGAUGUCCCUCUCUCAACCACCAGCAUGGCAAGGUGGUGGUCACGUCCAUGCAUGGAGCUUUAUGGAAGUUGUCCCCCACUCCAAACGAAAUGCUCUCCAACUCCUCCCGGGUGGCCAUGAAAAGCCCCUUUGAUUCAAAUUAUGAAAACAGUAAUAAUAGAUAAAAAAAAAACUAUGUAACACUUGGUUUGAAAAAAAAGGGGUCUACAAGGAUGUUUGAUAAAUGAUGAUUAAAUAUUCUAAUACCAACUUAAAUCACCAAAUUUAUUUAAUAAGAGAUAUUUGACUAAUCAUUUAAAACUAAACAUGAUAACAUCGUAAGUAAGUGAAUUUUUUGAAAACUUAAUAAUUUUUUAUUAUUUAUUUAUUUAUUUAUUUUUUUAUGAAAGUUUUGUUUUUUUUUUUUUUUAAAUCAAAACUUCUAUUAUUGGCUCCUUGACUUAAUGACGAGGACAUAUAAAAAAAUACUCUAUGCUCAUCCCUGCAAUUUUGGCAAAUUCUUAUAACUCAACUAAAAGGCAAGUAACCAUCUCCAAACUACCAAAUGACAUAAAUAAGUAAACUAAUAUACUCAAUGGAAAAAAGGUUCCAAUUUUUAGUUUUAGAUUCUUAAGAUAAACUAGUGCUAAUUUUUUUUUUAAAUUUUUACCCUUUUCCAUGGAAAUAAUAAUAAUAAUAAUAUGCUUUUGGAUUUUCUAAUUUUAUCUUUGAAAUGCUUGGCCCAAUAAUUUUGAUAUUUUCAAAUGUUUGAGUAAAUUCAAAUAGAUUAAUUUUCACAUUUUUUUUUCAACUCAUAUAAAUCACUUUAGAAAAUAAAGUGUGACUCAAUGCAACAUUAUUUUCAAAAUAAAUUGCUCUUGAAAAAGACAUAUUUUGGGCCUUAGUUUUUGUGUACCUUGAUGAUGACUCCUAAUUUUGUCAUAUGGUACAUUAUAUUUCUUUGCAUGUUGUCAUGAUAACUCCUAAUUUCUUCAUAUGAUAUUUCACAUUUCAAAGGAUUCCUAGAUGUACCUUCUUAAUAGGAUAGACCAUUAACUUUUGCAAUCUAUCUAUAUGUUACAAUAUUUUUGCUAAUUUUUACCUUUUUCCAUGGAAGAAAUAAUAAUACUAUGCUUUUGGAUUUUCUAAUUGUAUCUUUGAAAUGUGCUUUGCCCAAUAAUUUUGAUAUUUUCAAAAGUUUGACUAAAUUCAAAUAGAAUGUUUUUCACCAUUUUUUUUUCAACUCAUAUAAGUCACUUUAGAAAUUAAAUAUGACUCAAUGCAACAUUAUUUUCAAAAUAAAUUGCUUUUGAAAAAGACAUAUUUUGAGCCUUAGUUUUUGUUUACCAUAAUGAUAACUCCUAAUUUUGUCAUAUGGUACAUUGUAUUUCAAAGAAUUCGUACUUGUAUACUUAAUAGGAUACACCAUGCAUUAACUUUCAUAAUUUAUCUAGAUGUAGUAUUUUUGUUAAUUUUUACCAUUUGGAUCUUCUAAUUGUAUCUUUGAAAUGCUUCUCCCAAUAAUUUCAAAAGUUUGAUUUAAUUCAAAUAGACUAUUUUUCACUUUUUUUUCAACUCAUAUAAAUCACUUUAGAAAAUAAAAUGUGACUGAUUACUACUCAAAAAGUGCUAUUUGAUAGCCUAUAAUUAAUCCUUUUAAAAACUUUUGAGUAGUAGUUUAGGCCUUUUAACUCAAUUGGCAUGUUAAGGAUCCUUUAAAGCAAUUUUAAUCACUUUGUGUAAGUUUUGGUGUUUUUGUUAGUAUUUUGAUCACCAAAGCAAGUCAAGUCUGAGGAGAGCUAUGAGGAAUCUUGGGCAAAGUUGAGAAGUCAUUUGCCAAGAGUAAAUCCGGAUUGCAAGGAGAAAAAGCAAAGAGAAUCUGCCAUAAAGCAUAUUCUUGAUGACAGUCGUAGCAGCCACUUUUGGAGCACUUUCUGAAGUCCAAAUGAUGCAUGCUAUAUACCAUUUCAAAGCUCAGGAAGUCAACAAUCCAAUGCUUCAAAUGGUGUGCAAUUCGGAGUUGAAACGAAGAAGUUACAGCCAUUACAAGCCAAUCACUCCGAGCUGAAGGAAGCAUUUUGCAAAGUGUUACGAAAUCACCCUUUUGUUGCGAAGUGAUUUCGCAGCCUUUUUGAACAGUGUGAUGUUUCUCCUUCUGACGAUACCCGAUUUAUGCCACGAGAAGGAAGCUGGGAACCUCAAGGUGGAAGCCAACUUCGCAACCCUGUGAAGAUAGCUUGGUGUUGCGAAAUUAUUUCGCAGCCCUCUUGAGUGUCUGCGAAAUCUCGCAGACACCAUUUUUCUCCUGCGAAAUGGUUCCUGAAGCCUCCCGAUAUUUGCUACCGACAUUGGGAGAUAUUUUCCAUUAGAUUUUUGUUGUCUAAAUCCCAAAAUACUCCUUGUAAACCACCAAUUACAUGAUUCCUUAAUUUUUAAGUUAGUAAAAAGACUAAAUAUCUAUGUAAUAAUUAGUUUUAUAUUAUGUUCAUAUAUAUACCUCUCGGGAGCCUGUUCUCGGAGAGGAGUUCCUUCUGUAAAAGUUUGGGUAAGCAAGUAAAGUCUAUUUCUUUCUACUGCCUUACCUUCUCACUUUGUAUUUUCAUUUUCUUACUAAGUUAUGAAUUCUCUGAGGAGUUUUCCCCAGAGAAUGAGUAACUAAACCUCUAAUUCCUUGGAGCUAAGGUUGCCGGGGAAGGUUCCAAGUGCAAGAAUGCAAAGCUUUAUGGUUUUAGCUAUUAAUGAAGAGGAAGUGAAAUCCUUUAAUGAUUUCUAUGUUUUUAGUUAACUUAAAACACCUUAGAGUCACCUGGGCCAACACUUGGUAAGGCAAGUGAUUUCCAACCAUGGAAAUGCACUAGUUUACCCCUUGCGAGCCUCUGGGAGGUGACUUCAAGGUAGGAUUUUCUAGAAUAGCCAACACUUGGUAAGCUUUUGGACUCCAAGGAGACAUCCAUUAGUUAUCUCUUGCGAGCUUUUGACGGGUAAUCCAAGGUUAAAGAUCACCUUGAAUGGUUAAGGCUUAGUGAGAGGCUUAAACCAUUGCAAGUUGCAUCAGUGAGAGAAUUAAAGUGAAAUCUAAUUGAAGGAGUCUCUGUACAAUACCGGUUAGAGAAUUGGCUAUAUGUUGAAUCUCUAACACGAGGAAAUGAACCAUCUGACCAGAGCCGUGUCUUUUGCAUGAGGAACCACCCCAGUGAACCUAACUCUCCAAGGAAUGUUUUCUUCCUAAAUUAUUCCAAACUUCUGUUGUGUUAGUUAGUUUAAGUCUAAACCUUUACCAGUCAAAGUUUGUGUUUUACUUCUUAAGCUAACCAUGAAAUGAAACAAAACCAAUUCACUCGGAAUUGGUAUCAUUGAGAGCUUGUUAAUCUUUCCCAAUGGACGAUCCUAGAGCCACUAUACUAUAGUAGCUUUUUAUUUGCUAACCUAGUAGAUGGUGUUAUAGGUUAUAAAUUUUGUUGAUUACUCCCUCAAUCAAGGAGCACCAGCUGGACACAAAUCAGCUGAGACACCAAUUGGGCACGAAUCAAAUGGCGCCGUUGCCGGGGAAUAUGUCAAGUUUAUAUUGAUACCAUUUUUGAGCACUUGUGAUUUUCAUCACAAGUUGGUAACGUUUCUUUCACUUUACUAAUUUUCAGUUUUUCUUUAUUUGUUCAUAAUCUAAGUUUAUCUUUUAAAAUUUAGCCAAGUUUAAUUUUGUUGUAGUAGCCCUGUUUCUCUUGUUGUCCUCUGUUUUCAUUUUUUUUGCAGAUAGAUACUAGUUGUGUAUGCCCAAGUGGAUACGAGACAGUGGAGGAAGGCUUGUUAAGUGUGAUACACCUCAGAGAAAAGAAUUGGAAGUGAUCUUGAAUAUCAUGGAAGCUACACCUGAAGAUCAGCAUAGUCACCAAGGUCGUCAAGAUAAUCUCAAUGAAUUCAGAUCAAUGAGGGACCAUAUGCAUCCACCUCGUAUGAGUGCACCAUCAUGCAUAGUGCCCCCUACAGAGCAGCUAGUGAUCAGACCGUAUCUUGUUCCACUUCUACCAACUUUCCAUGGGAUGGAGAGUGAGAAUCCGUAUGCACACAUCAAGGAAUUUGAAGAUGUUUGUAAUACAUUUCAAGAAGGAGGAGCUUCAAUUGAUUUGAUGAGGCUUAAGUUAUUUCCUUUUACUUUAAAGGAUAAGGCCAAAAUUUGGCUUAAUUCUUUAAGGCCAAGGAGUAUCCGCUCUUGGACUGACUUACAAGCUGAAUUCCUCAAGAAACUUUUUCCUACUCAUAGAACAAAUGGCUUGAAAAGGCAAAUUUCAAACUUCUCAGCUAAAGAGAAUGAGAAAUUCUAUGAGUGUUGGGAAAGAUACAUGGAAGCUAUAAAUGCUUGUCCUCACCAUGGCUUUGAUACUUGGCUAUUGGUGAGUUAUUUUUAUGAUGGUAUGUCCUCCUCAAUGAAGUAACUCCUCGAGACAAUGUGUGGAGGAGAUUUCAUGAGUAAAAUCCAGAGGAAGCUAUGGAUUUCUUGAGCUAUGUAGCUGAUGUUUCAAGGGGAUGGGAUGAACCAACUAAAGGAGAAGUGGGAAAGAUGAAGUCUCAGUUGAAUGCUUACAAUGCAAAGGCUGGGAUGUAUACCUUAAAAGAAGAUGAUGAUAUGAAAGCAAAGUUGGCAGCUAUGACAAGAAGAUUGGAGGAGUUGGAGCUGAAAAGAAUACAUGAAGUGCAAGCUGUUGCUGAAGCACCAGUGCAAGUGAAGCUGUGUCCUAAUAUCAAUCAUUUGAACAUUUGGUGGAGGAAUGCCCUGUAAUUUCAGCUGAAAGGGAAAUGUAUAGAGAUCAAGCAAAUGUUGUUGGACAAUUCAGGCCCAAUAACAAUGCGCCUUAUGGAAAUACCUACAACUCAAGUUGAAGGAAUCAUCCAAAUUUCUCAUGGAAGGCCAGAGCAACUCAAUACCAACAGCCGAUCCACCAUCUCAACAAUCUUCAAGUAUUGAACAAGUAGUAGCCAAUCUCACUAAGGUAAUGGGAGAUUUUAUUGAAAAGCAAGAAGCCACCAAUGCUCGAGUCGAUCAAAGAAUUGAUAGAGUGGAGAGUAUGUUGAAUAAAAGGAUGGAUGGAAUGCAAAAUGAUAUGAACCAAAAGUUUGAUAACAUCCAAUAUUCAAUUUCAAGGCUUACAAAUUUGAAUACACUGCAAGAAAAGGGAAGAUUUCCUUCUCAACCUCACCAAAAUCCCAAAGGUGUCCAUGAAGUGGAAAGCCAAGAGGGAGAAUCAUCACAGAUGAAAGAUGUCAAAGCCUUGAUCACUCUAAGGAGUGGUAAAAAAAUUGAGCAGCCAACACCCAAGCCACAUGUUGAGAAAGAAGAAGAGUUAAAGAAAGGGAAGGACAUGGAAGAUAAAGAGAGUGAGAUCAGUGAAGAAAAGAAGGACUCUGAUGCAACAAGGAAAGUAAUUCCAGAGAAGGAGCUUCUGAAGGAAGAAAUGCUGAAGAAAUCAACUUCUCCACCUUUUCCUCAAGCAUUACAUGGGAAAAAGGGGAUUAGAAAUGCAGCUAAAAUCCUUAAAGUCUUGAGACAAGUGAAAGUCAAUAUUCCACUGUUGGAUAUGAUUAAACAAGUUCCAACAUAUGCAAAAUUCCUAAAGGACUUGUGUACUAUCAAGAGAGGGUUGACUGUAAACAAGAAAGCCUUCUUGACUGAGCAAGUAAGUGCAAUCUUACAAUGUAAGUCUCCUUUGAAGUACAAAGACCCUGGAAGUCCUACCAUUUCAGUCAUGAUUGGAGGAAAGGUAGUGGAGAAAGCCUUGCUAGAUUUGGGAGCAAGUGUGAAUUUGCUUCCUUAUUCUGUCUACAAGCAAUUAGGCCUUGGAGAGUUGAAGCCAACAGCAAUCACUCUAUCUCUGGCAGAUAGAUCAGUGAAAAUUCUAAGAGGGGUAAUUGAGGAUGUAUUGGUUCAAGUAGAUAAUUUCUACUAUCCAGUAGAUUUUAUUGUUCUUGAUACAGAUCCUACUGUAAAGGAAGCUAAUUUAGUCCCUAUCAUCCUUGGAAGGCCAUUUCUUGCAACUUCAAAUGCAAUCAUCAACUGCAGGAAUGGGCUGAUGCAACUCACUUUUGGCAACAUGACACUGUAUCUCAAUAUUUUCUAUAUGUCUAAAAAGCAAAUCACUCCGGAAGAAGAAGAGGGUCCAAAAGAGUUAUGUAUUAUUAAUAUUUUGGUGGAGGAGCACUGUAAUCAAAAUAUGCAAGACAAGUUGAAUAAAAGUCUUGUGAAUUUUGAGGAAGGUUUGUCUAAAUCUCCUACUGUGCUUGCUACUCUACAAAGUUGGAGAAAGAUAGAAGAAAUUCUACAUUUGUUCAAUAAAGAAGAGGAGGCAGCUGUUGAAAAAGAAAUUCCAAAACUCAAUCUGAAGCCUUUACCUGUGGAGCUGAAAUAUACAUAUCUUGAAGAAAAUAAUCAAUGUCCUGUUGUGAUAUCUUCAUCUCUGACCAGUCAUCAAGAGAAUUGUUUAAUGGAAGUUCUCAAGAGGUGUAAGAAGGCAAUAGGAUGGCAAAUAUCUGACUUGAAAGGCAUUAGUCCUUUAGUUUGUACUCAUCAUAUAUAUAUGGAGGAGGAAGCAAAGCCAAUCCGUCAAUUUCAAAGAAGGUUGAAUCCUCAUCUACAAGAGGUGGUGCGAGCUGAAGUGCUGAAGCUACUUCAAGCAGGAAUCAUUUACCCUAUAUCUGAUAGCCCUUGGGUGAGUCCUACUCAAGUGGUACCAAAGAAGUCAGGGAUCACAGUGGUUCAAAAUGAAAAAGGGGAAGAAAUUACUACACGCCUCACUUCAGGAUGGAGGGUGUGUAUUGAUUAUAGAAAGCUGAAUGCUGUCACCAGGAAAGGAUCAUUUUCCAUUGCCAUUUAUUGAUCAAGUGCUGGAGAGAGUCUCUGGACAUCCAUUCUAUUGUUUUUUGUAUGGGUAUUCAGGGUAUUUUCAGAUUGAAAUUGAUUUGGCAGAUCAGGAAAAGACCACUUUUACAUGUCCAUUUGGAACAUAUGCUUAUAGAAGAAUGCCUUUUGGUUUAUGCAAUGCACCUGCUACAUUUCAAAGAUGUAUGUUGAGUAUUUUCAGUGAUAUGGUGGAGCGAAUUAUGGAGGUUUUCAUGGAUGACAUCACCAUAUAUGGAGGUACAUUUGAGGAAUGCUUGGUUAAUUUGGAAGCAGUUCUGCAUAGAUGCAUUGAAAAAGAUCUGGUGCUCAACUGGGAGAAAUGUCAUUUUAUGGUACGUCAAGGAAUUGUCCUUGGCCAUAUCAUCUCUAAAAAAGGCAUUGAAGUUGAUAAAGCAAAGGUGGAGCUUAUUGCCAAAUUACCAUCUCCAACAACUGUAAAAGGAGUAAGGCAGUUCCUUGGCCAUGCAGGGUUCUAUAGGAGGUUUAUAAAAGGUUUUUCAAGUCUUUCAAAACCUCUUUGUGAGCUGUUAGCUAAGGAUGCUAAGUUUAUAUGGGAUGAAAGGUGUCAGAAUAGCUUUGAUCAACUGAAGAAAUUUUUAACAACAACUCCAAUAGUGAGAGCCCCUAACUGGCAAUUACCUUUUGAAUUGAUGUGUGAUGCCAGUGACUUUGCUAUAGGAGCUGUGCUUGGCCAAAGAGAAGAUGGGAAGCCCUAUGUGAUUUACUAUGCAAGUAAAACACUAAAUGAAGCUCAAAGGAACUACACAACUACAGAGAAAGAAUUGUUAGCUGUGGUAUUUGCUUUGGACAAAUUUCGAGCUUAUUUAGUGGGGUCUUUCAUUAUUGUCUUCACUAACCAUUCAGCCCUGAAGUAUUUAUUGACAAAGCAAGAUGCAAAAGCAAGGUUGAUUAGAUGGAUUCUUUUGUUACAAGAGUUCGAUCUUCAAAUCAAAGAUAAGAAAGGAGUGGAGAAUGUAGUAGCUGACCACCUUUCAAGGUUAGUUAUAGCACAUAAUUCCCAUCCCUUGCCUAUUAAUGAUGAUUUUCCUGAAGAAUCACUCAUGUUCCUAGUGAAAACUCCUUGGUAUGCUCAUAUUGCUAAUUAUUUAGUAACUGGUGAAAUUCCAAGUGAGUGGAAUGCACAGGACAGGAAGCACUUCUUUGCCAAAAUUCAUGCUUAUUAUUGGGAAGAACCCUUUCUUUUUAAGUAUUGUGCAGAUCAGAUUAUUAGGAAGUGUGUCCCUGAAGAGGAGCAGCAAGGGAUUCUAUCUCAUUGUCAUGAGAAUGCAUGUGGAGGCCACUUUGCCUCUCAGAAAACAGCCAUGAAGGUAUUGCAAUCAGGGUUUACUUGGCCAUCUCUUUUCAAAGAUGCCCACAUCAUGUGUAGAAAUUGUGAUAGAUGCCAAAGGCUUGGAAAGCUAACAAAAAGAAAUCAAAUGCCUAUGAACCCCAUUCUAAUAGUUGAGUUAUUUGAUGUUUGGGGCAUUGACUUCAUGGGACCUUUCCCAAUGUCUUUUGGUAAUUCUUACAUCUUGGUGGGGGUGGAUUAUGUUUCUAAAUGGGUUGAGGCAAUCCCCUGUAAACAAAAUGAUCACAGGGUGGUUCUCAAGUUUCUUAAAGAGAACAUAUUCUCAAGAUUUGGGGUGCCCAAAGCCAUAAUCAGUGAUGGAGGUGCUCAUUUUUGCAACAAACCUUUUGAAGCUCUGUUAUCCAAGUAUGGAGUGAAGCAUAAGGUGGCUACACCUUACCAUCCUCAAACUUCCGGGCAAGUUGAGCUAGCUAACAGGGAAAUAAAGAACAUCUUGAUGAAAGUGGUGAAUUCCAACAGAAAAGAUUGGUCUAUUAGGCUUCAUGAUUCAUUGUGGGCAUAUAGAACAGCUUAUAAGACUAUUCUUGGGAUGUCUCCCUAUCGUCUUGUCUAUGGCAAAGCAUGUCAUCUCCCUGUGGAAGUUGAAUACAAGGCUUGGUGGGCAAUAAAGAAGUUGAAUAUGGACUUGAUCAAGGCAGGAGAAAAGAGAUUUCUAGACCUUAAUGAGAUGGAGGAAUUAAGAAAUAAUGCUUAUAUCAAUUCCAAAGUUGCAAAACAGAGGAUGAAGAAGUGGCAUGAUCAACUCAUCUCCAACAAAAAAUUUCAGGAAGGGCAAAGAGUUUUACUGUAUGACACAAGACUCCAUAUCUUUCCUGGGAAGCUCAAGUCAAGGUGGAUAGGGCCGUUCAUUAUUCACCGAGUAUGGUCCAAUGGAGUAGUGGAAUUAUUGAAUUCCAAUGGCAAGGAUAGCUUUAAAGUCAAUGGAUAUCGUCUCAAGCCAUUCAUGGAACCAUUCAAAUCAGAAAAGGAGGCAAUCAACCUCCUUGAGCCUCAAAAAGCCUAAGUGAAAAAGGGUUUGCUGGACGUGGUUUUACCACAGUCCAAAAUUUUUGUAAAUUUUGUAAAUUUUCAAGUUUUUUCCGUACAUUUGAUCUUAGUUUUUGGAUCUUAAAUCAUGUUUUUAGGGGUGUUUUAAUCGUUUUGAAUGAUCCCAGGUGGAAGAAAUUUCAAGGAGAUUGAAAGAAAAAAAAUCGGGUCGAAAUUGGAGCCAAAACAGAGCAAAAACAGGGGAAAAACAAAGUUUUGCGAAAUUUCGCAAAGUGAAGGAAACUUCUGCAAAAUGAGCAUUUUGUUGCCAAACCAUUCCGCAACACUGUAGAAGUCUCUGCGAGGGUAUUUCGCAGCUGCGAAAGCAAAUUUGGCACACGAGUGCCACUUCGCAGUACAGUAGCAUCCAUUUGGCAGCUGUGAAACGCAAUGCGAAGUGGAAAAGCGUGAUUUCGCACCAAAAGUCCCAUUCCGCAGGGUAUUUCACAAUUGCGAAGGCGAGUUUGGCACACGAGUGCCACUUCGCAGCACAGGAACUCUCAUUUCGCAGCUGCGAAACGCACUGCGAAGUUGCUGCGAAAAUGGCAUUUUGCUGCGAAAUUGGCGUUUUGUUGCGAAACUUAAACCGACCCUUAGGCUUCCGUUUUUCCUAUUUAUACCGGUCAUUUGAGCUGCAAAAAGGGUUUAAAAAAUCAGAGUGCCAUUCUCGCAAGUUGUUCGUCUUCUUCAGUGAACCACGCCGUCCAAGCCUCCGAUCAUCUCCUUCGAUCAGCAACGCCGGCCAAAGUUCGAUAGCCCGAAAUGGCGCGAAUACGAGGGGCUAAGUCUUCAUCUCCUUCGAACCGCAAGAAGAGUCUGCGAAAUGAGCCAAGUCCAGGUUCUGCUCCAGAGCCUUCGCCGUCAAGGCCAAAUCCUCCUCCGGUGAAGCCUGCGCCACCAAAGCCGCCGGCAAGACGAUACCUUACCAGGUCAGGAGGUCGGCCAUUGCAGAAGAAACCCAGGGUGGAGAGCUCAGAACCCAUCGAUUUGACUGAGCAAUCUCCAGAGCCUUCACCAAUUCCAUCACCGGUUCCAACUCCAGUGCCAUCUCCAGUUCCCUCGCCGAGUCCCCUGCCAGUUCCAUCGCUGGUACCAUCUCCGGCGCUGCAAGAAAAUUCUCAGGAGCCUCAAGCGCCACUUCCGGAGCCCUAAAUUCCAUCCGAAACAGCUCUAGAAGAAGUAAUCCGGAGGCCAAUGCUACCUCAGCCCCCAAUUGAGGGAAAUUUAGAUUGUAGAGCUCGGGCAUUCCACUCCGAGCUUUGCUUCGACUUAGUAGCAUUCAGAGUGAGGUCGGAGCUUGCCCAAUCAUUCCAGCUGUUGAGGAGGUAUCACAUGGAGCACUUGCUGACUCCAAGAGACUUUUUCUAUCCCCGGAUAGCCACGGAUUUCUAUCAAUCCAUGACAACCAAAGAGGUAAGGAAUCCGACUUUGAUUCAUUUCACAAUCGAUGGGAGACAUGGCAUAUUGGGAGCACGACAUAUUGCUGAAGCCCUGCAAAUUCCCUUUGAGCCAACCCAAUUCGAUAAUUUUAAAGCUUGGGCAAAUCCUACUGAGCCAGAGAUGGUGCGCACCCUUUCCAGAGGAGCUGCAAAUCGAUCACAUCUGCUGAGGGGGGAGCUUCCUCCAGUUAUGUUUUUGAUUGAUGCCUUUUUGCGUCAUAAUAUAUAUCCAUUGCAGCAUUGGACCCAAAGAAGGGGAAUCCUCCUGGAAGCUCUUUACAAGAUGUCAGAAGGAUUUUUCUUUGGGCCUCAUCAUCUGAUCAUGGCAGCCCUUCUCUAUUUUGAAGAGAAGGUUCACAAAAAGAAGCUUCAGAGAGCAGAUUGCAUUCCCCUCCUCUUCCCAAGGCUGCUAUGCCAAAUUUUGGAGCAUCUGGGAUAUCCCUCUGAGCCUCAGCUGGAGAAAAAGCGAAUAUGCCGUGAGCCAUUCACUCUUGAUAAAUGGAAUAACAUGACGACCUACAAAGUUGAUCAGCCUGGGCAGCCUCAACCAGCUGCAAGGAGAGCAUCCCCAAGACAUAUACUUGAAGGUAUAACAGUAGCUGCUCCUGCCAUUCCUAGAGCUCCACCAGCUGCAUCUGCUUCAUCUCAGCCAUCCACAUCAGCUGAGCCGAGGAUGGCCAUUCCUAUAUCUGAAUAUCGAGAGUUGUGUCGUGCAUUGGAGACUCUUACAGCUUCUCAGAGCAGUCUUGCUCAAGAGAUGGCAGCCAUCAGAGCAUGCCAAGAGCAGAUAUUGGCCACUCAGGCUCAACAAGCUGCCAUCUUAAGGCAGCUCCAAGUCCAUUUCGAUCUGCCACAAGCUGUAGAGCCCUCCACUUCUACUCCAACAGAGCCACACCCUCAUCCUUCAGAGUCUCAUCCUCUAGAGCCCCAAGCCCCAAGCCCCAGCUGAUACACCUACUGAAGAGGCAGAUCCUUCUGCCUAGUCCCAGCACCACCCCACUCAUCAGACUAUAUUAUAUAUCUAAUAUUUUUAUGUAUUUCGUUUUUUUUUAAGUUGAAAAGAAGUCCCAGUAUUUUGGUACUAUAUUUUGGAUUCCUUGUGUUACUUGUCUUUUGCAUUGUACUCGAAUGAAUUGAAAGUAAUACAAGUUGAAUAUUUCUUGUUAACAGUUAGCAUUAAGUUAUUCUUAUUUCCUUUUCUCACAUAUUCUAUUCUUUUUGAAACAUGUGGUUUUCCCCAAUCAAUAUUCGAAUUUGAUAUCAGCAAGGAGGUACCACUUCCUCCCUUUAAUUACAGUCACUCAUAUCACAUUGAGGACAAUGCUCAAUUCGGUUGGGGGGAAUGAGGAAUGAAGUAUGUUAAAUCUUUUUGGUAAUGCAAUUAUAUUGGUUAAUUAGUUGUAGUUUUUACUUUUUACUCUUUUUACUCUAUUCUCCAUGAAUUUUGAGGAAAAAUUUUCAAAUUAAACCAAGAGAAAUUGAACUGUUGUUUUUUCACUUGACUUAGAGUAUGGAUUAUGCUUACUAAAGUGGUUCAAUUGUUUAAGCUUCUAUUGAAAUUGAAGUUAGUUCUUCCACUUUAAGCUAUUCACACACUGUGCACAUUAGAUUCCGAUUAUAAGAUGAAAAGCUAUUUCCCUCUUGACUUAGGAUAAUUUUGGGACUUGGUAUAUUUGACCUCAUUUGAUAAAAUUGAAACACCCUGCAAAAGGCCAAUGAGCCUUUGAAAUAAAGAAAGUUGUUUGCUUGCCUUGAAACCCGAGCAAGGUCUGAGGGGUAUAUGGUGAAAAUCUUUUAAAGCCUGGUGCCCUAAGCCUUAAUUGGUUGGGAGUCACCGACCUCAAUGCUCGUUACAAGGGUGAAUAGGUAGAGCUAGCAUAUGGUAGAUGCUUGGGUAUUAGAAUCUCAUUCUUAAAAGUCCGGGGAAAAAUCCAAGGAGUUAGUGGUUGAAAGAUCCUUAAAGCUUGGUGCCCUAAACCUUAAUUGGUUGGGAGUCAUCGAUGGACCCCCAUUACAUGGACAAGUCAGAAAGAGUACCCCAUAAAGCCUCAUAAAAAAAUAAAUAAAUAAAUAAAUAAGAGAAGGUGUGUUAUUUUCUUAUUGAUUUUGGUCAAAUUGUUAAGUGUUGAAAAGAGAUAGGUUGGGGGGAGAGAUUAGUUUAGCAUAUUAUUCUCGGAACCUAAGGAACCAAUACACAUAGAUUUUUGUGGAAGAUUAAAGUUUGGUUCUUAGAAAGUGGAAAUGAUUUUAAAACUUCAGUUUGCAUAAUGCACUCCCUUGAUUGACAGUGUUUAGCAUAGUUUGUUAUGACUCUUGUUGAGAUUUGGGUUAGUAUUUCUUUAAUGCUUCAUGUGAGAAUUAGAUCAUCAUGCCACUUGAGAAUUAUUUUCUUUCAGCAUGAUGUUGUAAAUUUUAGUAUAAUUUGCUAUUUAUUUUCAUUUUUCUCUCCUAUAUUGCUAAGGGACUAGCAAUAUGUCGGUUGGGGGGAGUGAUUACUACUCAAAAAGUGCUAUUUGAUAGCCUAUAAUUAAUCCUUUUAAACACUUUUGAGUAGUAGUUUAGGCUUUUUAACUCAAUUGGCAUGUUAAGGAUCCUUUAAAGCAAUUUUAAUCACUUUGUGUGAGUUUUGGUGUUUUUGUUAGUAUUUUGAUCACCAAAGCAAGUUAAGUCUGAGGAGAGCUAUGAGGAAUCUUGGGCAAAGUUGAGAAGUCAUUUGCCAAGAGUAAAUCCGGAUUGCAAGGAGAAAAAGCAAAGAGAAUCUGCCAUAAAGCAUAUUCUUGAUGACAGUCGUAGCAGCCACUUUUGGAGCACUUUCUGAAGUCCAAAUGAUGCAUGCUAUAUACCAUUUCAAAUCUCAAGAAGUCAACAAUCCAAUGCUUCAAACGGUGUGCAAUUCAGAGUUGAAACGAAGAAGUUGCAGCCAUUACAAGCCAAUCACUCCGAGUUGAAGGAAGCAUUUUGCAAAGUGUUGCGAAAUCACCCUUUUGUUGCGAAGUGAUUUCGCAGCCUUUUUGAACAGUGUGAUGUUUCUCCUUCUGACGAUACCCGAUUUAUGCCGCGAGAAGGAAGUUGGGAACCUCAAGGUGGAAGCCAACUUCGCAGCCCUGUGAAGAUAGCUUGGUGUUGCGAAAUUAUUUCGCAGCCCUCUUGAGUGUCUGCGAAAUCUCGCAGACACCAUUUUUCUCCUGCGAAAUGGUUCUUGAAGCCUCCCGAUAUUUGCUACCGACAUUGGGAGAUAUUUUCCAUUAGAUUUUUGUUGUCUAAAUCCCAAAAUACUCCUUGUAAACCACCAAUUACAUGAUUCCUUAGUUUUUAAGUUAGUAAAAAGACUAAAUAUCUAUGUAAUAAUUAGUUUUAUAUUAUGUUCAUAUAUAUACCUCUCGGGAGCCUGUUCUCGGAGAGGAGUUCCUUCUGUAAAAGUUUGGGUAAGCAAGUAAAGUCUAUUUCUUUCUACUGUCUUACCUUCUCACUUUGUAUUUUCAUUUUCUUACUAAGUUAUGAAUUCUCUUAGGAGUUUUCCCUAGAGAAUGAGUAACUAAACCUCUAAUUCCUUGGAGCUAAGGUUGCCGGGGAAGGUUCCAAGUGCAAGAAUGCAAAGCUUUGUGGUUUUAGCUAUUAAUGAAGAGGAAGUGAAAUCCUUUAAUGAUUUCUAUGUUUUUAGUUAACUUAAAACACCUUAGAGUCACCUGGGCCAACACUUGGUAAGGCAAGUGAUUUCCAACCAUGGAAAUGCACUAGUUUACCCCUUGCGAGCCUCUGGGAGGUGACUUCAAGGUAGGAUUUUCUAGAAUAGCCAACACUUGGUAAGCUUUUGGACUCCAAGGAGACAUCCAUUAGUUAUCUCUUGCGAGCUGUUGACGGGUAAUCCAAGGUUAAAGAUCACCUUGAAUGGUUAAGGCUUAGUGAGAGGCUUAAACCAUUGCAAGUUGCAUCAGUGAGAGAAUUAAAGUGAAAUCUAAUUGAAGGAGUCUCUGUACAAUACCGGUUAGAGAAUUGACUAUAUGUUGAAUCUCUAACACGAGGAAAUGAACCAUCUGACCAGAGCCGUGUCUUUUGCAUGAGGAACCACCCCAGUGAACCUAACUCUCCAAGGAAUGUUUUCUUCCUAAAUUAUUCUAAACUUCUGUUGUGUUAGUUAGUUUAAGUCUAAACCUUUACCAAUCAAAGUUUGUGUUUUACUUCUUAAGCUAACCAUGAAAUGAAACAAAACCAAUUCACUCGGAAUUGGUAUCAUUGAGAGCUUGUUAAUCUUUCCCAGUGGACGAUCCUAGAGCCACUAUACUAUAGUAGCUUUUUCUUUGCUACCCUAGUAGAUGGUGUUAUAGGUUAUAAAUUUUGUUGAUUACUCCCUCAAUCAAGGAGCACCAGCUGGACACAAAUCAGUUGAGACACCAAUUGGGCACGAAUCAGUGACUCAAUGUAACAUUAUUUUCAAAAUAAAUUGUUAUUAAAAAAUACAUAUUUUGGGUCUUAGGUUUUGUGUAUCAUAAUAAUAACUCACAUCAUAUUUCCCUACAUACUCUAAUGAUAAUUCAUAAUUUCUUUGUAAUGUAUAACAUUUUGUUUUUUUGCAUCUUGUGAUGAUAACUCAUAAUUUCUUCAUAUGGUACAUCAUUUUUCAAAAGAAUUCCUAAGUGCAUGUUCUUAAUAGCGUACAUCAAUUUUCAUAUUUCUUUGCAUAUAGUGAUGAUAACUCCAAAUUUCUUCAUAUGGUACAUCAUUUCUCAAGAGAAUUCCUAGUUGCAUGCUCUUAAUAAGAUACACUAACUUUCACAAAUCAAUCCCUAUAAACCAAUUAAUCUACAUGUUAGAGUACUUUGAAUAAUUUAUUACAUGAUUAAUGCAAUGAGAAUAAUAUCCCAACUUACCACUUUAGUUAAUAAAUGAGUGAUGUUGUACAAAAGUUUGACUCACAAAUUUUAAAAAUGGUGCAUGAGUUUUUGAGGGAUAGAUGAAGAUAUCAUUGAGUAAUUUAAGUGAUAGAUGGUUUUACAUGCAUCACUAUUUUUAUUAUCAUUUUUUAAUUGUUGGCAUGUAAGUGAUGAUUAAAUGUUCUAAAUACCAACUCAAAACCACUAAACUUUAUUUAGUAAAAUAGAUCUAGCUAACCACUUAAUGCAAAUCAUGACAAGUGGAUUUUAAAAUUUUAUAACAUUUUUUUAUCUCAUGUUUAUAGCUCUUACAAAAUAAAGAUUUUUAUUAUUUAAAUCUUUUUUUAAGGAUGAAAAUCUAUUUUCUUUUAAAUCAAAAUAUUUAUUGUUAGUUCAUUUAUUUAAUAAAUUUAAAUUUCUAACAAAACUCCAUUUUAAUUCAUUUAUAAGAAAUAUAUUGAAUCAAAUUCUAUUUAAUUAAUUUAUGUUGAAAUUGAAUUUCUUUUAUUUAAUUAAUUUAUAAGAAGCAUUUUUCCAUUCAAGGAUUACCAAAAAAACCAAAAGUACGAUUAUAUUUCUUUAAAUGCAUGGUUUUAAUGAAAAAUAAAAAAUAGUGAAAUAAAUUAGAUAAUAAAAUAUUUUUAUUUAUUAUGAACUCUUGAUAUUAUAUAAUUUUUUUAAUAAUUCUUGUUGUGAUAUUUUAUUCUAAAAUUUAUUUUUAUUAAUUUUCUUAUUAAAAUUGGUUGCCAAAAAGUUUGAAAAAAAUAAAGUAGAAAUUAAGAGAAAACAAAAAACAAAGAAUUUUGUUAUCCAUGAAAAUUUUGAAAAAUAUCAUCCAACCAUGGGAAAAUGAUUCUUCUAAGAAUUUUUUUUGUCUAUUUUUUGCAUUUUCCAAUCAAACAUACCCUAAAUGGUUUUGGUUAAAAAAAAGUAUUAUGAUGAAUCAAAUUGGAUAAUCCAUUAGUUUGCUUAUUAUCAAUUAUUUAUAAUUUAUUUAUUAUUUCUAAUUAAUUUAUUUGAAUUAAGAUGAACAACAUAAUAAUAAGAGUGAUAAAUUUAUGAGAAGUGUAUUAAAUCAUUUUUAAAUUAAUCAAAGUGGUUUUUCAUUCAAAAAAUGUUAUAUUUUUAGUUUAAAGUUAGAUUUUUAAAAAAAAAUCAUUUUCAAAUUUAAGUUGUUUUAUUCUGAAAUUUACCACUUAAACCUAAGAUUAUACCAAAUAUUUUUCUAUUUUAAUAAUUAAGGUUGCUCAAUCAAAUCCAUGAACUUCUUAUAGUUUGUUAAGUAGAUGAGUGUGAAUCAACUCAAAUUAAAAGAAUCUUAUUUAAUCCUUAGGUGCUUAACAAUAAUUUGACAUUCACUUUUCUAAUAAUUUUAAAAUUUUAAUUAAAUACUUGCAUCAUUUUUUCUUAUGAAAUUAAAAUUCAAGAAAGACUCUUUCAACUAUCAUCGAAUAAAAAUGCUUAAUUUUUUUUUUUUAAUUUUUCAUGAAACCAAUCUUAAUUCUCAUUCUUGUAAUAUUAGUAAAUUGAUUUCAUCACUUAAUUCAAUUUUUUAUUAAGUUUAUUUUAACUUUUCCCUUUUUUUUUUUGCCCCUUUCCAUUCAUUACCUUUACGGUAUCUAUAUUACAUUACUUUUCUUUUACUUCUCCAUAAUAUUUUUUUGAAUAUCUUAUUUUAUGAAAUGAUAAUCAUGUACUCUAUCAAUAUAUCAUAUCAAUAUAUCAUAUAGCAUGCUUUAAGUUAGACUCCAUAUAUUGCUUGAGUAUUGUUAAGUGUUAAAUCUACUUAUUUUUACAUUUUAAAGUAUCUAAAAAUUUUAUUAUAAUGUGUCCUUUUAUUUUAUUUAAUUAAAAUAAAAAUAUUUUAAAGUUACUAAUUUAAAAAAGUAGUAAUUUAACAAUCCUAAAAAUACCAUAAUUUAUUGUAAUAAAAAUUGUGUUAACUAAUUAUAUAAUUAGUUAGAAAAAGAUUCGCUUAAUUGUCAUUAAGAAAAUAACAUUAAGUUGAGAAGCACAAUUAAAAGUUUGCUAAAAUUAUUGGAGUUUUAUUAAAGCUUAUAUCUAUUUACUAUUUAUUUUUCUUUUCCCACAUUUCUUUUAUUUUUCAUGAAACCAUUAUUUUUAUUUUAACACUUAAUAAAUUUUUUACUUAAUUUAAAUUUCUUUUUUCCAUGAAUGUGUACUUUUACAAUGUAUAUAUAAUUUUUCUUCUUUCAAAACAUAUUCGAAAUAGUUUGAACAAUUUUCUAUCCUUCAAAAUAGAAAAUUAUUUUCUAGACUUAAAAAGACGUGGUAAUUUUUUGAAAAUUGUUCUAAAAACAAAAAACUUAUUCUAAAAAUAAGAUAUUUUUUGAAAACAUAUUUUAAUUAUAAUAAUCAACAAUUUUUAGGAGACAUUUCAAAAAAUAAUUAUAUGAGAAUUAUUAAAAAUAAAUUAGCAUAGAUAAAAAAUAUUUUUAGGAAACAUUUAGAAACACAAAAAACAAGUUGAAAUAUUUUACUUUAAUUUAUUUUUUAUUUAGGUUAAUUUUUUUUUUCAUGAAUGUUUACUUUUACAAUGUAUAUAUCAUUUUUCUUCUUUUAAAACAUAUUGGAAAUAGUAUGAAUAGUUUUCUGUUCUUCAAAGUUGGUAUUUUUUUAAGAGCUUGUACUAAAAACAAGAAACUUGUUAUGAAAAUAAGAUUUUUUUUUCUAGAAAUAUGUUUUAAUUAUGUUGUUUUUAAGGAAAUUUUAAAAAAAUUAUACAAAUAUGGAGAAUUAUUAAAAAUAAAUAAUUACAGAUAAAAGUUAUUUUUAAGAAAUAUUUAAAAACACAAGUUAAAAACAUUCUAAAUCUCCAAACAUGCUUUUAUUUUUAAAAUAUUAAAAAACUGUUUUUCAAAACUUUUGUAAACAAACCUAAUAAUAAAACUCUUUUUGAAUAUUUUAUUCUAUGAAAAGAUAGUUAUGACCCAAUCAAUACAAUAUGCUUUGAGACUCUUAUCUAAAGGCCGACAAGCUGGGUAUACUUUAUACAAUCUCACGAAGAUUCAGCUUGGAAUAAAUCUUACUAGCAUUAUUGCAAAUUUGACAUAAUACUAUUGCUUAAUCUUACAGCAAACAUGGGAGCACACGACCACAAAUUCUAUAUAUAGCUGCUGGCAAUGUGAUCCAGCUUGUCCCACUCCUAUGGCUCUUCUGACGCUUUCUUCAAACCCUUUUUUCACUUUUACAAGACUGCAACCUUCAAGCCGCUUCUGCCGCGGAAAAUCGCAGGGUGUUUGCAUUUCUGGUCCAGUCCAAUGCACGGGUGGGGCUAAAACUAGUAGCCAACCUGCUGUGAUUGUGAGGCGAACCGCAAGCUACCAACCUUCAAUUUGGGACCAUGAUUAUAUCCAGUCACUAACGAGUGAUUA
rnacentral:lncRNA from 1 species